AAAGAUAUCGUUAACGUUUAUCCGGAUAUAGGAAAAACUAUGACAAUUAAUAACAGAACUUACGGUAAAACUCAAAAGCUGUGUUCUACUACGAAAGAAACUAAAAGAAGCUAAAAAAUGUACCCAAUUUCAAUAUUAGUUCAUUAUCUAGGUUUUUAAAAAUAAUAAAAAUGCUUUAAUUAAUUUCUAUUUUUUUCAUUUUACUAUAGUUUUAAUAUAAUUACUCAUUCUCAUAACAUUUAUUUAUUUUUACUUAUAUUUCUCAUAAUAUUAAUGAUGAACAAUAAAAUCUAUAAAUGAGUUAAUGAUGAUAUAAGAUUAAUUUUAUAAAAUUACUACUUUAUUUUAUCUAUUUAUUAUUAUUUUUUAUAUGUAUAAAAUAACUUAGCGACAAUUAUUUUGGAAUAAAGAGAAGGAGUAACAUAUAAUCCAUAUAUUAUUAGUUACUACAUAACUCUUAAUUAUUAUACCUCAAAAAACUCUCAAUUAUUAGUUAUAUUAUAUCAAGCUAAUAAUAUAAACCAUUUUCACAUUUAUCGAUUUUAGAAUUUUCUUGCAUUUUUUAUUUUUUAAAUAUUUUCUUUAUCUCAAUCCUAACAAGCAUAGUGUAAUUAAAAGGGAGUAUAGCAAUAAAAUCAUGUCACUCCACUUUUUGUGCUUCACAUUAACUGAAGCAUCCUAGACCAAACUAAUAUGAAUUGAGGAUUAUUAAUAGUUUAUAAUAUGUAUAAUGAUAAUUAUAAAAUCAACAUUUGUUCCUUUUUUUAGUGUUUAUAAAAUGUUUGACUCUUUCUUUAAUUUUUAUAUUUUUAUUAUCAAAAGACUAUUUUCAUACACAAUAAUUCUAACAAGUACCCGAGUUCGAUUUUUUUACAUAUAAGAAAUAAAGUAAUUCUAAAAAGUAUGGGAUACACCAUAAAGUACAGCUCGUAACAUUAUUGCUUUAAAAAAUAAUUGACAAUAUGAAUAUGCUUUAAGGAAAUAACAAUAUUUAUUAUAUUUAAAAUAUAAAAUUAUUUAAGAUUUAAAUUUAAAGUGAUAAUAUAUUAUAUAAUGCACCAUGUUGAGAUUGUAGUCUACCUUUUGGACUCAUUUAUUAUAAGUGGUACAGUGUAUUACUUUCCUCAAUUCAUGGACAAUAACAAUUUAAUUUUUAGAUAGAUAUCUACUUAAACAUGUUGACGAAACAUUAUAUUUUAAAAUUAUAAGAUUAAUUUGAUGACUAAAAAAAGAACGAAAAAAGAGAUGUUGUAAUUCAAAUCAAUUCAAUGAGGAAUAAAAAAUAUAAGAAUACUUAAUGACUUUCGAUCUAAUACUACGAUCUAACCUCCUUUCUUAUAUGAGGAUAUAAACAUAAUUCACUCUCGAUGGAUCAAACAUAAAAUAUUAUUUUUAUAUUGAUUCUUGAGAAUUUUUUGUGAUUACAAAGGAAUGGACAAAGAACAUGCAAGACUAUUUAUAAGGAAGGAACAAACGCAUUUCAAGCAACUUGACAAACAAAAGGAAAAAUCUAAAGCUAUGUAUAUAGUCCCCAAGGUUGUAUUUAUUAAACCUCAAAACGACAUGAUCUGCACAUGUGUAGUCACCCAAUGAUCACCUUUUUUAUGUCAUGCAUAAAUGCGAGCAUAAAAAAUGGAGGUAUCAUAAACAUUAAAUAUAUCUCAUCGCUGACAUCAUGGUAAAAAGCUCAAAUACGUGGUGAUGUUGAUAAACAUUUAUAUAUCAGACAAUAUGCAAAAAAUGAAAAAGACACUAAUCCAUAAGGCUAACUUAUGUUAGCAUGUUUUUGUCUCACUUGUCUUUCAACUCAAGAUUAGAGGAUUAUUUACCUUUUUGAGUUAACCAAUAAUUCAUCAUGCUUUAGCCUUAUUUGUCUUUUGAGACAAAGCUAAAGGGGUUUGUAUCCUCUUAAGUUUGUGGUUGACUUAUAACUCAACUUACUUUAGCCUUAUUUGCCUUUGGCUCAAGUGCAUGGCCAACCUAUUAAGAUAAAUUAUAAGUCAUAUAACCAAUUACUUUACUCAAGAUUUGGACAACAAUAAUGUGGUUUUUAGAUAGGUAAGUAGUUAACAAACUUGUUGAGGAUGUGACUAUAACAGAAUACCCCCACAAGGGAAUAAUUGUCCAUUAAAUGAUAUUUCAAGCUCUUUUCCCCUUGAAAGGACAAAUAUAACUCACUCUUGAUGGGCCAAACAUAAAAUAUUAUUUUUAUAUUGAUUUUUGAGGAUUCUUUUAUGAUUGCAAGGAGUUAAGAAUGAGAAAUGAACAUGUAAGACUAUUCAUAAGGAAUAAGUAAACACAUUUCAAGCAUCUCGAAAAUUGAAAGGGAAAAUCUAAAGCAAUUCACAAAGUCCCUAAGGUUGUAUUUAUUAAACCUUGAAAUGGUGUGACCUACACAUGUGCAUACACCCAUGGAUCACCUUUUUGUGGCAUGCAUUAAAUGCAAGUGCGGAAAGUGGAGGUGUAAAAAAUGUUAAAUAUAUUUGAUUGUUGACAUCACGAUACAAAGCUCAAAUACAUGAUGAGGAUGUUAAACAUUUAUAUAUCAGACAAGAUGCAAAAAUGGAAAAAGACUAUAAUAUAUAAGGUGUCACAUGUAAGCAUGCUUUUGUCUAAUUCACUUUUUCAGCUCAAGAUUGGAAGGCUAUGUAUGUACCCUUUCAAGUUCAUGACUGAUCUAUAACUUGGCAUACUUUAGGUUUAUUCACCUUCUAGCUUGAAGCUAAAGGAUUGUGUUUCUUCCCAGGUUUAUAGCCAGGUCAUAACUCAAAUGCUUCAACUUUCUUUUCCAUUCGGUUUGAGGCUAAAGGAUUGUGUAUCUCCACAAAUUCAUGGUUUACCUAUGAGAAUGAUCUAUGGAGAUGAAUAAUAAGUCAUAAAUUUGAUUACUUUACUCUGGUUAUAGACGAGAUACAUGUGAUUUUAAGUUAGAUAGGUAGUUGAGAAACAUCUUGAGGACAAAAUCAUAAUAGGAUACCCCGUGAGGGAAUAGCUGCCCAAUAAAUGAUAUUCCUACCUCCCUGCCCCUUGCAAAGAUGAAUAAAAUUCAUUCUUCAUAGGCUAGACAAAAAUUGUCUCCAAAUUGAUCUUGAAGGACUUCCCGUAAUCAGAAAGUGUGGAAAAUGAGAAAAAGACAAGACUAUUUAUAAGGAAGUAAUAGAAAUAUUUUCAAGCCUCCUGAUAAAUUAAAAGAAAAAACUAAAGUAAUGAUGUAGUCCAUAAAGGUUGUAUUUAUUAAACAUCUAAAUGGCGCGACCUGCACACCGUGUCACUUAGGCAUUACCUUCUUAUGGCAUGCAUUAAAUGCAAGUAUAGAAAGUAAAGGUAUCGUAAGCGUUAAAUUUAUUCCAUCUUUGACACCAUGGUACAAUGUUUGAAUACAUGAUGACACUGAUAAACGGUUAUACAUUAGACAAGAUGCAAAAAUGGGAAAGGAUGCUAAUAUAAAAGGUGUCAUGUGUUAGUAUGCUUUAGUCCCAUUCGCCUUUUGACUUAAGGCUAGAGGGUUAUGUACCUCUCUAAGUUUGUGACCCACUUGUAACUCAACAUGCUUUAGCCUCAUUCAUGUUUCAGCUUGAAGUUGAAGAAUUGGUUAUCCUCCCAAGUUCACAAUCAACUCAUAAAUCAACAUGUUUUAACUUUAUUUGCCUUUUGGCUUGAGGCUGGAGGAUUAUGUACCUUCUUGAGUUUAUGGUCGACAUAUGAUUGAGUUAUAAUAAGAUAUCCCACAAGGGAAUAAUUGCCUAUUAAAUGAUAUUUCAACCUCCUUGUCCUUUGUGAGGAUGAAUACAAUUUACUCUUGAUGGAACCAUACAUAAAUUAUUUCUAAAUUGAUCUUUGAGGACUUUUCUUCUUCUUAUGAUUGGAGAGUAUGGAGAAUGGGAGAUAAGCAAGGUUAUUUAUAAGGGAAGAUUCGAGCACCCUCUAAAGUAACUAAUGUAAUCACCUAGAUUUGUAUUUAUUAUACCUCAAAACAACAACCUCUACAUCCAUAGUCACCUAGGCUUCACCUUUCUUUUUUGUUACACGUAUUAAAUGUGAGUAUAGGAAAGCAAAUGCAUAAUAAAUGUCAAAUUCAUCUCAUCACUUACACCAAGGUACAAAGCUCAAAUACAUAAUGACACUGAUAGACAUUCAUUCAUAAGACAAAAUGCAUAAAUGAAAAAAAAACAUUAAUCUAAAGGUAUGACAUGUGUUAGGUUUCUUUAGCCUUAUUCUCCUUUUGGCUUGAAGUUGGGGGAGUUUGUACCCUUUCAAGUUCAUGGUUGACUUAUAACUCAACAUGUUUUAGUCUCAUUUGUCUUUCAACUCGAGGCUAUAGGAUUGUGUAUCCUCUUGAGUUUUUAAUUGACUUAUAACUCAACAUGUUUUAGCCCCGUUCACCUUUCGACUUGAGGUUGGAGUAUUCUAUAUCAUUUUGAGUUCAUAGCCAACCUAUUGGAUUGACCUAUGAAAAUAAAUUAUAAGUCAUUCAGUCUUUGUUACUUUACUUGGCUUCUGGGUGUGAAUAAUACGAUUUUUAGAUGGGUAGGCAGUUAAGAAAUAUGUUGAGGAUCAUUGUAAUAAAUUAUUUCCAAAUCAAUAUUUGAGGAUUUUUCGUGACUGGAGAAUGUAGAAAGUAGGCAAUAAACAAGGCUAGUUGUUUGUGUAGGGGGGGACAAACACAUUUUAAGCAUCCUAACAAAUGAAAGGAUACAUAUAAAGAAUAUAAAGGCAUCAUAAACAUCAAACCUAUCCAAUCAUGAUAUAUAUAUAUAUAUAUAUAUAUAUAUAUAUAUAUAUAUAUAUAUAUAUAUAUAUAUAUAUAUAUAUAUAUAUAUAUAUAUAAAAAAAGAAAUAGCGUGCUUUACCCUCGCUCUCUUUUGGGCUCGAGGGAGAGAGAUUAUGUACUCUUCAGAGUUCGUACUCAACUUAUAACUCAACAUACUUUACUCUCUUUGCUUCUAGUCUCAAGGAUGAAGGAGUAUUGUCCUCUUGAGUUUGUGGUUGACCUAUAACUCAACAUGUUUUAGCCUUAUUUUCUUCUCAGCUCAAGGCUAAAGGAUUAUGUAGCUUCCUGACUUUGUGUUUGGCCUAUAACUUAACAUGAAUUAGACUUAUUUGCUUCUUAGUUCAAGGCCGAAGGAUAAUGUAUCAUCCUUAAUUCAUGAUUGGCCUAUAACUUAACAUGCUUUAGUUUUAUUCACCUUUUAACUUAAGGUUAAAGGAUUAUGUACCCUCCUAAAUGUAUGAUUUGACUUAUAACUCAUUAUACUUUAGCCUUAUUCGUUUUUCAACUCAAGGCUAGAGGGUUAUGUAUUUUCUGAAUUUUGUGAUCAACUUACAAAGACAAAUAAUAUAUCCAUAUAAUUGGUUACUCUACUCAAUUUAUGGACGAAAAGAUUUUUUAAUAAUUAUUAUUAUUAAAGUAGUUGUUAAUAAUAUACACUCUUAAUUAAAUAUAUCAAAAUUAUUUCUGCUUAAAAGUGCCUUUACAACUUUUAAUAUUUUGUUCGUUCAUUAAUUAUUUUUUAGACAUAAUAAUUGCGAUACUACCUCUACAAUUAGGAUGGAAAUUAUUAGAAGGACAUCUAAGUAUUUUAUUACUUAAUAAAUUAUGGUUUUAUUUUUAUGGUAACAAAUUAUUAUUUUAUUUUAAAAUUAAAUUUCUGCUUCAAGACACUUUUACUUUUUUAUAUAUAUAUAAUUAGCCUAAAAAACUUAUUAUUAAGCAUUAAAUUAAUAAUAUUUAAAAAUUAAUUCAAUAGAAGUUAUUGUUAAAAAAACAAGUGGUUAUAUUUUCAUAUAUUAAAUACUAUGACAAAAAUUAAUCUUUACAGUAAAAAUCUUUUACAAAUUUUGAUAGGAAAAAAAACAUUACAUCAUCAAAUAAUAACUUACAGUUGAAACCUUGUCUUUCUCUCCGCUUAAGUUUAAACUUUAAAAAUUUUACGUACUUCAGUUAAAUGAACUAAAACUAACUUAAUCAGAGUCUUACUUACAGUUUAAACCUUGUCUUUGUCUCCCCUUAGCAAUAAGCAAUUAGAUUAAUAUGAAGACGUAGACAUUAUUAAAGUAAAUUUAUAUAUUUCGAUACAGUCUUUUGUAUAUACACAAAUAAUGAAUCAAAUUCCUAUCAGCUUAUGAAAUCCAAAAAAAAUAAAUGCCCGUGAUUAAUUUUUAAUAAAUUUUAUUAACUAAUAUUCUUAGAAUAUUGAUUAAAAAAUUAACAGAAAAAACAUUGACGGUAUAAAUGAUAAAAAAACGUAAAAAAAUAAUUAAUAGCAUAAUUUUUUAUUUUAAAAUUUGAAUAUUCUUAAAAAACUUGUUAACAUUUGCAUUUUUAAAAUUUAAUUUAAAUUCUUAGUAAGAUUCCCCGACAAAUUCGUUUAGUUUACUAGACUGGCAUGCAGAUUAGAGAAGGCAGUCAACCUUAACACGUAGUCGAGUCACGCACGUACGAAAAUCCCACUCCCCCAUACUAAUACAUUUCACAUUCUCUCUCUAUCUAAAUCCAGUGGCACAUCCGUAAAUAAGCCCCAAAAGCAAGCCCAAUUCCCUCUCCCUCAACGUAUUAAGUCCACCUUCUCCCCAUUCUGCACACCCAACACAAACCCACUUCCUCUCUUUUCCGGCCACCACCCCGCCUCACUCGCCUAGAUCUGCUCAGAUCACAAUCCCAAACUUCUCAAAUCCGACGUCGUUUUACCUCAGCUUAUAGAAACACUAACAGAAACGAUUUCCUUUCCUCGAUAAUUCGCUUACUCGCGCUCUGUUUCUUUCUAAUUAACCUUCGUGUUCGCGCGUGUGUUUGUUUCUCUCUUUUUGUUGUUUUUGGAGCUUCUUUGAUUUUUCCGGCGACAAGAGAAUGACGUCCGGCGCGAGGCAGCCGACGUGGAAGGAGCGGGAGAACAACAAGAGGCGGGAGAGGCGGAGGAGAGCUAUCGCGGCGAAGAUCUUCUCCGGCCUCAGAAUGUACGGAAACUACAAGCUCCCGAAGCACUGCGACAACAACGAAGUUCUCAAGGCUCUCUGCAACGAAGCCGGCUGGACCGUCGAAGCCGACGGCACCACCUAUCGCAAGGUAUUAUAAAUUUGAGGACGAAACUUAGAUACAAUUAUAUAUAUAUAUAUAUAUAUAUAUAUAUAUAUAUAUAUAUAUAUAUAUAUAUAUAUAUAUAUAUAUAUAUAUAUAUUUUUUUUUUUUUUUUUUUUCUGUCAUCAGAAUUUCGGAGUUUCACCUCGAUAAUUCGCGAAAUAAUUCAGAUGAAGAUUUAGUUGUGAAUUGAACUGAAUCUAUGUUUUGAUGUGCAAUUUGAGAAAUUUGGCUUGAUUUUUUUAUGAAUUUGGAUUUUUUUACUGAAUUUGCUAGUUUUUUUUUUUAAUGUGGAUUGUUUUUGGUGGCGUGUAUAUACGGUGUCGUUUUGGUUUAGUUUAAUGGCAUGGCACAUGCUACUGUUGGUGGUGGGAAUCAAAAGGACGUGAAAGGCGCAGGGAGUUACGGAAAGAGUGAUGCUGUCUGAUUCUAUUAUUAUUAUUAUUAUUAAAAUUAUUGCUGCUGUGUGUGUUGUGUGAAAUGUGAAUGUGUGUUGUCUUUUUGGUUGUGAAUUGUGUGUGUGGUGUGGGGGGGUUAGAUCUGCGUUUUUUACUUUGGGGCGUGAAAAGAUUCUCUGUAUCUCCGUGGUGGUGUUUUGAUGAGUCAUAAUGAUAAUCCUCGAGAGAAACCUCAGGGGGGGCAUAGAUCUCGAGGGGGAGAAAAAAAAGAGAAAGAAAAUGGCCGUUAUUAUGGUUUUGGGGGGUAAUGGGCAAUGGAAUUGCCAAAAGUUUCUUAGCUGGGCCUGGAAUGCCGGAAUUCUGGGAAUUGGUAGGGGUAAAUGGGUAAUUUCGUGUGUUUUUAGGUGUCUGCUUGUUGUGCUUGUUGUUGUAACAUGACAGAAGCUUUUGCAGACAUUGCGGUGUACUCUCUGAUCUGGAGGGUACCUUUUUUACUCAGUUCUCGUGAUUUUUUCUUCUUUCUUAGGGGGUGCGGUUGCGUUUAUUUAUUUUUAUGCAGUACCUUUAUGUUGAUGACGCUCUCACACUAUUUGGAGAGACGGUAUGUUUUGAUUCACCAGAUUUGUUUGUGCUCUGUAUUUGGGUUGCGUUACAAUUUUUAUAUAUAUAUAUUUUGGAAAAAAGAGGGGUGGGUGAGUACGUGUGUGUAAAGGGGCUUAUUCUAUCUUUGGUAAAAGUGGAUACAAAAAUUAAUGAGAAUGGCAAGCAAUCCAAUUUCAUAUAAAAGAAAGCAAGCAACUUUUUUCAAUACUUAGGAGGUAACUUAUUAAGUCAGUUCUAAGUUUUAAAUGCUGUAUUAGAUGCUGCCUACAGAAUUGAUAUCUAGUUGGAUUAUACUAUACUUUUAAUUUAAUGCACAUUACCAUAAAAGUGAGAUCAUAUUGAUAUUCUGAGAAGUAAGAACACUUUUGUGAUGAGUUUUAGGUUGCAAAAUGGUUUUAAUUGAAGACAGACAAAAUUUGACGUGUUGGAUUAGGCAAAAUUGAUGUAAAGAGAGUUAACGUUUUCCAACUCUGACAGCUGUAGGAAUAUUUGUAAAGAUGGCUUGAUAUCUGUUUCUAGUAAGUGAUCUGUUGGUUGGUUGUUGUUUUUGUUGAUGCAAGUUUAAUAAAAUGCACUGAUUCAUUUAAAAGAAAAGAACCUCAUUCCCUUAUGUAGAGAUAUCAACUCUUAGUUUCCUAGUUACCACAAAUGUAUAAUUAUUAGUGGACCAUUUAUAAACCAUCUAAGUCCGUUUCUUUGUUUCUAUGCCGUGAUUGUUCUCUAGCUAGCUAAGAUGUUAGUCACCAACGUUUUUGUUAUUUUUUUUUUGUAACAUGGGAAAAUAGCAAACAGAGAAAAGAAAGCAAAUUACACUAACAAACGAGCAUCCUGCCCGACAACAUUUUUGCUUUUAUCGCUAGUUAGUUAAUUCUCUCCAUCAUCUAUAUUUAUUUUUAUACCUUCACUGGUGGAAUUUAAGCAAUGGUAUAAUUUUCCACUGAAAAAAUUUACUUCAUGAUUUAAAAUUAGUUUUGUUGGAUAGGCUUGUUUUCUUGAUUGUUUAUGGGUUUCAUGCCACUGGCUUAUAGUAAGGGUGCUACAAGGUCCAAUAAUAAGCAGUUGCUUUUCAAAUUAGUCCCGUGUAAUACAUUUAUAUGUGUGAAACAGAGAUUUAAGGACAGAAUUGAUGCCUUGUUGAAUGGAAAAAGGCUACAUUGUUGUUUAUAGCCAGUGGAUCCAUCUAGUUGGUAAAAAUAUCUUGGUUUUACAAAUGUUAGUCAUUUGGAGACUUGUUAUUGUAUAUGUUGACUCUGAAUUAUUAACAAAAAGAUUUUUUAUAUGAAGGGAUGCAAGCCUCCUGUUGAACGCAUGGACAUAGUAGGUGGUUCUGCAGCAGCAAGCCCGUGCUCAUCUUACCAUCCAAGUCCUUGUGCUUCCUACAACCCUAGUCCAGGCUCUUCUUGCUUACCGAGCCCUCGUGCAUCCCCCUAUCCUCCAAACCACAAUGCUGAUGGAAAUUCUCUCAUUCCAUGGCUCAAAAACCUUUCAUCAGGAUCAUCAUCAGCAUCCUCUUCCAAGCUUCCGCAGCUGUACAUUCCAAACGGCUCCAUCAGCGCUCCUGUCACUCCUCCAAUCAGCUCUCCAUCGUCUCGAAAGCCCCGAAUCAACGCUGACUGGGAGGAUCUGUCCACUCGUCCGGCAGCGUGGGGCGGACCUGCAUACACCUUCCUGCCCUCUUCAACUCCUCCUAGCCCCGGUCGCCAGGUUGCUGAAACAGAUUGGUUUUCCAAGAUCAGGAUUCCUCAGGUAGGACUAACACCAACUUCUCCAACCUUCAGCCUGGUCUCUUCCAACCCAUUUGGCUUCAAGGAAGAUGCUAUGGGUGGCAGCGGUUCCCGCAUGUGGACGACACCAGGGGCAAGUGGAACAUGUUCUCCAGCUGUAGCUGCAGGCUCUGAAAACACUUCUGACAUUCCAAUGGCUGAAGCAGUUUCAGAUGAAUUUGCCUUUGGAAGCAGCUCAUCAGUUUUAGUGAAUGCCUGGAAAGGGGAGAGGAUCCAUGAAGCUUCUUUCGGAACAGAUGAUCUUGAGCUCACUCUUGGGAGCUCAAAAACCAGGUAGCAAGAAUAUUUGAUGAAACAGGGCAAAAAUUAUGCAUAUUUUUUUUAUCUGUUGGAAUUUCAUGUCUUUUGAAACAAAAUUUGAACCUAAAUUUGUUCUUUUUGCAGGCUACUCCAUAAGUGAAUAGUCAAUGGUCCCUUCAACGACAAGAACUUUGACUCUGUUUAUUCUGUAGAAAAGGCUAGAGGAGGGAAUUAAGAUGAGCAGCAAGUAGUUGCUCUUUACAUACCAGAAAAAAAUAGCAGUUUAUUUUAUUCUUUUAUUUUCUCUUAGGUUUUAUUGGUUCCUAAGUUAUAUAUACAGCCUUAGCUAGGUCUCGGGUGGUUUUCAACCAUUUCAUGUGGUCAAUGUCUUGUUAAAACUUUUAAUACUCUGGGAAAGAUCAUAUACAUGUAUGGAUUGGCUUGGUUUGAUAUUGAAAGGGAAAAAUUACUCGAUUUCAACUGUAACUGAAUGAUCAAGAAAGUUAUGCAAAUUCCAACUGAAUGGGCCUACAAAAUAUCUCUUCUCUCACUUUUAUGUUUUUAUGAUUUUGUUUCUCCCCAUAUGGCGACAGAUUUUAUCAUUUUGUAGGCGUGCUUAUCAUUUUUUUGUAGACUUUGAUAAAAUAAAUAUGAUUGCUUUGCUACCGGUAUCUUUCUAUUCUAAAUCAAUAAAAAAAAAUAUUUGUAUGUUAAAAUCACAUUAUAAAUGAGUUAGAAUUUAAUUUUAAUGGUAUUUUAAAUUUUAUAGUUGUCAAAUUAAGGUUCAUUUCAUUUUUUUUACAAAUUAAAUAUUAAACAUGAAAAAAAAUAUGCAACUAUAGAUGGAAUUGGCAACAAAAAUAAUCUAAAGGUCUGUUAAGAAUAGUCCCACAUCGGGUAAUUCAUGAAUAUGAUAAGUGCUUAUAUAGCUGGGUAGACCACAUUCUUAUGAACCGGUUUUUAAGGGGACCUUUCGGGGUAAUUCAUGAAUAUGAUAAGUGCUUAUAUAACUGGGUAGACCACCCCCUUAUGAACCCCUUUUUAAGGGGACCUAUUCUAAACAAAUAAUUCAUAUUACUCAAAGUAAAUAUUUCAAAUGCAUUUUAUAAUUUAGCCAUUUAGGUGUCGUUGAACUUUCCUUAAAUGAAAUGUAAAAUUUUAGUACUAGUUUAUAAUGAUCACGGGUGGAGCAGUGAGCUACAAUACAAUACUUAACUACCUUAUCAGAGAUUUCCCUGAAACGGGAAUAUGGCUCUGUCCUCUUAGGAUGGGUCUAUUUUUCGAACAAUUUUUGCUAUCCUUUGACCCUGAUCUUUGAUAGCAGCCAUUUUUGGUUCCAGUCAAUACUUGCUCUAAUCUAACUACGCCAAUUUGAGUGGCAGCCCUUCCUAGAGUGAAAGAGCAAUGUCCUUCACACACUCAUUGUCACCGAAAAGCUCUCACUAACUGGCCAAUUAAAAUUAAAUUAAAAAAAAAAAAGCAAAGUGCUUACUCCUAUCGUGCUUCUAGUCAAUAAUAGAUCAGAAUUGAACAGGGUUUUGCAUGAGAUCAAAUUCACUUUGUGCAGGAAGUGCUUUUCCUUUUUUCUUGAGUGUGACUGUCAUUUUCAUGUAGUAAUUAAAAGGAGCAAGGAUAUAUGGUGAGGCCAAUAGAGAAAAAGGAACAUACAAUAGAGAAAAACAUACAUGGGUAGUGAAGCUUUUCAAUUUCAUAAUUUAGAGAAGAAAUAAAAAUAAACAAAAAACAAAAUUCACUCCAUACUUCCAUAAUAUCUACUGGGCAACCACAUGAGGUAUUCAACAGGCUUUAUAUGUAAUGAGGCUAUGAUACAUGAAGAGGAGGAAAGAAAGAAAAGAGCAUAUUACUAGUGGUAAAGGCUAAGGUGAACCACUUGAUACAUGGUCCAUUAUGGACAAUAAAGUUUAAGCGUUAGAUUAAUCUAUGUCAAUAGGUUAUACUAUGAGGCUUAUACACCAGACUAUAUCCCCCCACUCUAUCUCUCCCUAGCCACCACUGUUCAUUCACGUUGAACCAUCCACCUCCGCAAUGAGCCACAAACUAACCCGUGUUUGAAGUGGAUCUCUCUCUCUCUCGCCGGAAGCCACCAAUGCAUCUCUCUCUACAGCCUUUGUUCUCACUCUCACGCGCGUCGCUAGGACAUGGCCGUCGGUAUAAUAGAGAAGACAUCAAUUUCAAUUUUCAUAGCUUUUGAAAUGUUUAAAUAUGUAAUCUUUUUCCUUGUUUUUCAUCUGGGUUUUCAUUUAUCAUAGUUUUCACUGGAAGUGAAUCCUACCCAAUGAUUUUAAUGGCAAUAACUUCCAAGGGGUCCAUUGUUGAUGUAGAGAGAGUUAGAGAAGGAAAGAGCGUUGUAUCGACGGAAAUCAUUCACUGGUUUUCUGAAGAUGUCGUUAGAGUAGUUUUUGAAGGAGUUCAUUCCAGGGAUCUAUCAUUCAUUGGUUGCAGAGAGAUCGUAGGAGAAGAGGGUGGAGGUGGCAAGGGAACAAACAAGGAUAUAUAAGAAUCCAUCAAAGAGUGUUCAUUUCUUUCCACCACAAGUCUUGUAGAUUCCCAUAUCUGAAAGUUAUAAUAUUUUCCCAGACUGCUCAAUGAUCCGUUGCUAAUUAAGAUUGAAAGAGUCAUUAUUAUUUAAAAUAUUGAUAUUACUAAUAUUAUAAAUGUUUCAUAAAUAAUAAUUAUAAACUAUUCAACUAUAUUUACAUAUAACGAAUAACAUUAAUAACAUGAUAUUUAGUAUAAAAUAAACAAAUAUUAAUAUUCAAAAUAUCAUAAUAUAAAUUAUAGUUUAAUUUUAAUGAUGUGAAAUAUUAUUCAAAUUGAAAACAAUGUUUUUCCAUAAAUAAAUUUUACUUAUCAUCAAUAAAAUAAAAUAUCAUUUCCAUUAAAUAAAUUAAUAUCCUAUUUAUAUUAUAUAAAAUUUUUAAAAUAACUUAAAGUUAAGUAUUCACGCAAAAUUUUAAUACAAAUUUUCGUUGGUAAAAAAUUUCAUGGAUACAAAAGUAGAAACUGAAUUUUUUUUAUCAAUGUUAAUUGUUGAUUUGUUAGUUUUUUUAUUAACAAAAGGAAAGAUUAAAUCUAUAACUUUUUUCCUUUUUUUUAACUAUCAAAUCAACCUUAAAGAAGAAAACUAAUAAAGCCAUCAGAGCAUCCACAUGGUUCAUUACUUAAAUAGAUUAUCUAAUUUUUAUAAGUAUGUACAAUACAUUGUCACAUAAAUUUAAGUAUUCUACAUAAAAAUUAAUUCUAACGUUUAGAUUGUUAAAAGUGAAUGUUUAACUUAACUUUAUGGAAUACUAUAAUAUAUGCUAAUUUCUCUCAUUCAUAAUAUAAAAAAGAAUAUUUUUUUAUUUUUAACAAUUUUUUAAACAACAUUAUUUAUAUAAACAAACGUAUUUGAAUAAGUAAUGUCAAGUCAUGUGCUCCAAUAAUAAAUUUUGUUAAACAACGUUACUUAACUUCAAACAUCCUUAUAAGCAAUGAAGAUGGCCUAAAAGCUCAUUGCACAUUCCCUUAUCAAAACUCAAACUUUAAGAUUCAGAUUUUUCUAACUUUUUUAUAAUAUAAAAUUAUCAAAUUUUUUUAACAUGCACUAAACACACACUAAAGAGGUGGUAAAUACAUGUGCCUCUAUUAGAUCAAGGUGUGAAACUGAGCUGACCUAGGUCAGGUCAAAUUUUUAUGAGUUGCAAAUUUUUUGCGUCAGCCUAGCCUAAUGACCAUUUAAAAAAAAUUAAAUUUAUAUAAUUUUCACAAUAAAUAAAAUCAAAGUAAUAAAUAAUAUCAUACUCAAUUGGUUCAAUUGCUUUCAUGCUUACAUUCUAUAGAUCUAACCCAAUCCAUUUAGUUUAUGUUUGUUUUGUCGUCAAAAUCUUGUUUGCACAAAUUGCGAGGCACCUAAACGGAAAAAAUACAAAGGUCUUGUUGUGAGCAAAUUACAUUUAAGGAUUUUGGAAGGGUAUCCAAACAUGCUUUUAGUAGGAUCGAUUUAAUUGGUUCAUUUUAAGUCUAUAAUUCAAAAUUUUACUCCAAACUUCGCUUAUUUAUAUAUAGGUUUCUGGAGUAAGUUUAUUAUAGACCAAACUCAGUUUAACACCAUGCACUAGAAUGUUAGAGAAAAUUUGGUAGACUAGAAAUGAAACAAUGGUAGGGGUCGACAUAGAAAGGUGGGAUCAACGUGAAAGAGGCUCUUGGAUUGGAUUGAGGACCCUCCAUAGUGCAUAUAUUCUCCCCACAACAAUAUAUCAAAUUAUCAAUAGAUAAAUAUUAAGCACAAAAAAAUAUAUCAAUAGAUAAUAAUUAUCAUCAUUCGACCUUUAUCUUUCAUUGCUUUGCACCCCACACAUCAUCAACGUAGAUAACGGUCCGUUUUUAUCACGUGCGCCGAACUCUAACACGUGCACCUUUCAUAUUUCAUUUGGUCUCCAAUUUUUUUUAGGAAUGAAUAUCCAUUUUAAACAUGUAAAUGUUAUCAUUUUAGUGUUUUUUUUUCUACCCAUGAUAUUGAAAUGAAGUAACCUCACAAAAAAUAAUGACUAAUUUUUAUUGGAAACUUUGAGCGUAUUAUAAGUUGUGUUUUUUUUUUUUAAUUAUAAAGCUUAUAAAAUAUGGUCUUUAAUGUAUUUUUUUUUAAUUUUAUCAAUGGACUAAUUGGGUAUAAGAAAAAUUACAUAACAUAAUAAUUCGUACUUUGAUGUGAAAAACUAUUGAAAGGCUAGGUUUAUAUCUUGUGGUGUAUUUAUAAUUGGAUGAUCAAAUUAUCACACUUAAUUAUAUUAUUAAAUAUUAAAUACUUAAAUAAGUUUUUAAUUACUGUAAGUAUGACUAAAUUUAAUUUAAGCCUUCUAAAUAUUUUAUUGGUUUUUUCUUAUAAAUUUAUUUUCCAUUCUUCUUAAAGAAAAAAGGUCUUGUAACCAUUAAAGACUUCUUCAAUUGCGUAAACUCGAAAAAAGCAUCAACUUAUAGCCAAUAAAUCUAAAUCUAUGCCACAAUAAAAAAAAAAAAUCUAAAUUCUAUGCCUUUGACAAUUUGUUAACAAUGGUUUCUUGUACUAGUAUUUCUGUUUUGAUUUGACGAGUAAUCUACUACUCAAAUUCGAUCCUUAUCAUUAACUAGCAAAUUCAAAUCUAAAACAUAUAUACAUUUGUCAACUAAUGUUCUUUGAUCUUACCAAAAUGUUCAAGCAAUUAUCUUUCACUAUAACCCUGAUCCCAACAGGUGGCAUCAAUCCAAAAAUAAAAUAACUAAAGUUUAUACUUUUUUAAUAUACAAAACUAGGAUUUCUAAUAAAGAUAGGUGACAAUUUAUUGUUUCUCUAUGUCCUAAACCCCUCUUUGUUGGGGUUAAGUGAAUUUUUGUGUACCAUAUGGAUUUCUAAAUUGUGUCUUUUAAUGAAAGUUUGAUUUUGUUCUUUGCAUUUAUAAUUUUUUUUUCCUUAGUGCCUCUUAAGACUUCAUUGCCGUUAAAGAGAUUAUUUUUAUCUUUAAUAAAUGAAAAUUUGUUCUACAAACAUAUGUUAAGCUAAGAAUAAUUAUUAGAUGCUUGGUACCGCUAUAGAUUUCUUAACUUAGUGUUUGUUUCUCUUUAAAUUGCCUAGGAAAUUAUGUUUUAAAUAAUAAAUUAAAAAUUUCGGUAAACAAAGUAAGAAGUCAAAUUGAAUUAAAACUCAUAUUGAGAAUUCAAGGUAAAAUAGAAUGAACCCUAACACUUUCCUAUUUGGUUUAUUUUACAUUCUUGUUUUUUUAUUCUCUAAAAAAAAUUCCAAAAAUAUUUUUUUAUUGUGUUUUUCAAAUUUAAUUAAUUUUUUCUUAAACAAAAUCAAAUCCAAAUUGUCUGUUGUGAUUUGCAUUAUUCUCUUUUGUAAAAUUACUAGGUAUGAAUUAAGAUAUUCGUGUGCCGAAAGCCAAUAACUGAUUUGCCAAGUUCUUAUGGAAUGUCUUAAAUGUCAUGUAAUUAAACAUAUAUAAAGAGUUAUUAUACUAAUUCUUUAACAUUUUGACUUCACAUACUUCAUAAGAAAUCCCGAGGCCAUCAACUAAAUGUGUGUUCGUUUCCAUUUUCACUCAACACACCAACUGGUGGUCAGCAGAAGGAAAAAAAAUCCUUCUUAUAAUCAUCUAUUGGGAAGUCAAAUUCAUAUGAACAUUUAUUUUUUUCACGCUUGUGUUGGUUUAUAUCUAAACCAAACACAUGCAUAAUAUAAGCCCCAUAGCGUUCAUUAUAACCAAUCUUUUCAUUGGUGUGACAUUGGCUCUAUCCUUAACCCAUUUGGUAUAGCUCUAUCCUUAACAUCUUUUCAGUAUCAUAAUUGACUUCUAGAUUUCAAAGCAAGCAUAUGGUAUCGGUUGAAUAAAGGUUAAUGAAAAUGGAAUAAAUAUUUACUUUAACAAAAAAAUUGACUAUAUUAUUAACUGGUCUUUUUGGUUCUUUUCUUUUGCAAUUUUUCUUCCAGAUAUCUUUGUAUUAUUUUUUUCCAUCUGCGCAAUGAAAAUUGCCUCUUUUCUGUGUUGUAGGCCAUGCGUGUUCUUCUCCAAACACUAAUUAAAGGUACCACGGUUGGUGGGAAAGAAGACAUGUAAAAAGAAAUUGGUCCAUGUCCUGAAAGGAUUCAUUUUGUGGCAGCACCGAAUUACCCCUUUCUCAUUCACAAUUCACAAUUGAAGAUAAAGUUUAUAUACUAUUAACUCUUUCAUCUCUUCAACUUUCUAAUUUCUUACUGUAAACUUUAUAUAUUACAUGUCCAAUCUUUAGUACAUUAAGGGUGUGUAAAGAUCAAAUAAUCCCCAUCCAUUAUUCCCUUUCUUUCUUGUCUCCUAGGUUUUUUUCCCCACUUUUUUGGUUUCUCUUAUUUUCCGUUAGCUUUAUAUAUAUAUAUAUAUAUAUAUAUAUAUAUAUAUAUAUAUAUAUAUAUAUAUAUAUAUAUAUAUAUAUAUAUAUAUAUAUAUAUAGUUUGCUAACUUAUAUCCACUUAUUUUUUUAAAAGGAGUAAGUUAAUAAAUUAUAAUUAUAAAUUUUCUUAAAAUACACUUAGGUAUAACUUGCUAAUUUAUUUCUUAUAAAAAUUAAGUAGGUGUAUGUUAGUAAAUAUGUAUAAAGUUUGUAUGUUAGUAAAUAUAUACAAAGUUUGCUAACUUAAAAAAUUAUAACUAUGAUUUUUCUUAAAAUACAUCUAUGUAACUUGUUAACUUACUUUUUCUGAAGUAAGUGGAUUUAUAUUAACAAAUACGUAUAGAAUUUAUUAACUUAUACCUACUUAUUUUUUAAAAGGAAUAAAUUAAUAUGUUAUAAUUUUAAAUUUUCUUAAAAUACACUUAUGUGUAACUUGCUAACUUCUAAAAAAAUAGCUUAAUUUUUACUGUUUUUCACAAAUAUUAAAUUUACAAUAUAUAGUUUAUAGAGUAAUUUUUUAUAUUAUUUAAAUUUUUAAUAUAUUAUUAAUUUUUUAGUUUAAAUUUUGAUAAAUGUAUGUUAUUAGAUAUGUUAAUAAAUAAUUUAUACGGUUUUGACGAACGAUAAUUGAUUUAAGAUUUUAUUAGAAAUAAAAUAAAAUAAAUAUAAAAUCUACAUUAAUUAAAUUAUUUUAAAAAAAUAAAUAUAAAAAUAUCACGUAACAUCACUUCAUAGAAUAAAAUUAUAUAUAUAUAUAUAUAUAUAUAUAUAUAUAUAUAUAUAUAUAUAUAUAUAUAUAUAUAUAUUAUAUUUAUGUUAAAAAAAUUCUAAAGCGAAUUUUAUUUGAAAAUUUCAUCUAACUUGAUAAUAGCACUUUGUUUUGUUAAUUACAAAAGAGAUAUAAUAUAUGGUAUGGAAGAAGAGGGAGGAUAUACUAAUCUAAAGAGAAAAUGUCACAAGUGGAAAUCCAUUUUACACAACAAAGAUUUUUCCCCAUAAUAUAAUCCCUGACCGAUGUAGGGAAAAGGUUGCAUUAAUUGAACCCAGUUGCUGAACUUUCAUUAAUAAGACCCACAUGGCUAUGGCAAAAAAAGGGGUAGGUUAAAAAUCAUGCUCCACACUUCUAUGUUUUUUAGGGUUAACUUUUGAAGGCAGGAACAAAAAUAAAAGUUAGCACUGCUUUGACUAUUAGUAACUCACUUUUAUCAAAGCCCAUAUGAUGCCAUUUCAAAAAGAUAUUCUUAGUUGAAAAAGAAAUUCGUUUUGAUACAUGAUUAUUUUUACUUUAUCAUCCAAUUUUUAUUUUACAUUUAUAUUGUAUUAUUUAAUACUAGUAGAAAGAUAAGCACUAUUAUGCUUCUGUGUUCACAUUUUUAUUUGUUGGAAUUGGACUUUAUAUGUAUAGUUAGUGUAGUUUUUGUCCAUGUUUUUUUUUUAUAUAUAGAGUAGUUUAGUGUGUGAGAGAAAUAAUUGAAGUAAGAGAUUUUGAAACAUAAUUGGGAGAAGAUUUAUAAUAGGUUAAAUUAAUUUUUUUACUGCAGGUUAAAUAUUAACAUUUUUGUUAGUUUGGUUGUUUUAAAUUUAAAAAGUUUUAUUUGGAUCCCUUAGAUUAAAUUGAUCAUUUUAUUAAUUUAUUACACUAACAUGACUGAUUUGAUAAUACAUAAUAAAUUGUGAGAGAUACUACCUCAUAUUUACAUUUGUCAUGUUACUCAAAAUUGAUAGGAUAUUGUUGGUGCCACCUUAAAUAUCUAUUUUUAUCAAUGUGACAUAUGACUAACAUCUCUCACAAUUUAUCAUAUAUCACCAUGUUAAUAAAUUGAUGCAAGGACCAUUAAUCUAACAUAAAUACUUUAGGAUUUGUUAUGGAUCCCCUUUGAGCUUGUCACGUGGUUCAUGGCCCACAACAACUAUUCAAUUGCUUCACCUGUUAACUAUUACUAUAUAAGACAUUUCAUGUAUACAAGUAUGAGUCUAAACUCAUUUUAUAGAUCUUUUACAUUCUUUGACUUUGAUGUGAGAGUGUAUGUUUAGAUGAUUGCAAGUCUCACUCCUCACCAGAGGUUGUCAUGAAAUUCCAACAUGUUUAGAACACAUCCCUCUAGGACUAAAGUUAAACUUUUAAACUUAAGAGAUUAAUCUAAAACAAAGAUAUAAGUAAAUGAUUAAAGUUUUUAUUUUAACCUUUAUAAUGUCAAUUGAAAGACAAGACAAAAAAAAAUCUAAAAAAUGUCGAGGUAAAAAAGAUAGUAUCAUUUUUAUAAUUGUUAUAGAUAUUACAUAACCACAAAUUAUUAGAUAAUUAUAUUUUUUUUUAUCUUAACAAUAUAUAUUUUUAAUUGGGGACGGCUCAAAUUCAAGAUCUCUUAUUUAAGUUAGAAUAAUUUUAUACUUAUUAAUCCACAUGUUUAAUGAUAAUAUAAUUUUUGACAUAUAUAAAAAAAUAAAUUAAAUAGUCAGUACAAAUUUUAAAAGAGAAAAAAGAAACUUCAACAUUCCCUCUCACAUUUAACGGAAAGUAACCAACUCGGCUAAAAUUCAGAAAAGAGUAGAAAAAAAAUAAAAAAGUAAAAAAAGGCAAACCAAAUCAAAGUCAUCAUAGAUUGAUACUACUUCACAACACAAGUGUGAAGACUCUCACAAAUCAACACUCACUGCUCACUGCCAUAAACAAGGAAGAAAGGAAGAGAAAGUGAGGGAAAAAGGUUAGGUUGCUGGUGGUGGUGGUGGCAUGUUUUUUGGAUUCUAAAAUCUCACUCUUUCUCUCUUUAUAAAAAUCUAAACGCCAUGAUCAUGAAUUUGAUCCGCAAAUUUGGCUAAUCAAGUGCCUUCUCACUCUUUUCUUUUUUUGUUUCUUCUUCUUCUCCCUUUCUCUCUCACACAAACACAAACACACACUCUCAUCAAAACCAUUUCCCAUUACCCAGAUCUCCUCCGAUCUCCGACCACUCUCCGGCCACAAAGCCACCUUCCAAAUCCACCAAAUGUGCUAACUUUGCCACUUCCAACCAUCUUCUCCACACUCUUCUUAUAACACCACCUUCUUACACACACCCUUUUCAAUUUGUGAUCGACCCAGAAGGCUAUUCAACGUUGUUGGGUCGAAUCUGGUCCAAAGUUGUGUUCUUUGGGAGGUUUGAGGAGGACCCUUUUGAGGCUUGAGAUCGAUGACGUCGGGGACGAGGCUACCCACGUGGAAGGAGAGAGAGAACAACAAGAAGAGAGAGAGGAGAAGAAGAGCCAUAGCGGCGAAGAUCUUCGCGGGUCUGAGGAUGUAUGGGAACUUCAAACUCCCAAAACACUGCGACAACAAUGAAGUCCUCAAAGCUCUCUGCAACAAAGCUGGUUGGACCGUUGAACCCGAUGGAACCACUUACCGCAAGGUACAUUAACUCCAAUUCUUCCUUUUUUAUUUUUUAUUUUUCUUUUCACUCACAAUUUUAGCUACUUUAAUUUAAGUAAUUUUCUGCAGAGGAAUGUAGUAACACAAUGAUUUUAUUUGGUUGAAGUAGGAUUAUCUCUUGUAAAAAAAAUAUUUCUAGUCUUAAAGAACCAAAAAUGUUUUUAAGAUGGUAUUGACAAAUAUUUAAAGUACAUUUAUUAAUAAAUAAAAAUUUAAUUAAAAUAAGAUGAAUUAUUUGCUAAUUUAAAUAUUAUAUUUUUUUAUUAAAAAAUCAUGUUUAAUUGCAUGACACUUGUUAGCAUUUUAUGUUAGUGAUUUGAAAAAUAUUAAAUAGUUUUGUUUUGUAAUAUAAUAGUUUAAGUUUUUAAAAUGCUUUUAAUUCAUUAAAACUAAAUAUUAUAAUAAGUUGUUUUUUUUGUGUAAUAAAUAUAUUUUAGCGAUAUUUUUUCUUUUUCUAAUAUAUGUAAUGAAAAAUAAUUAUUUAACCGUUAGAAUAUAAUUAACGGGAAGAAGAUGAGAUCUUAGACAUGAUCGAUCAUUGAUAGCAGGUUUGACUUCCUAUCCGCUAUUCAGAGUCUGAAAUUUUUUAUCUAUUUUAGGCUGUAAUACUUGUUCUUCCAUUUUUUUGAAACAAGAAAAUAAUUAUUUUUUAUCAUAUAGUAAUUCAUUAUUUAUAAAUAAAUGCUCAUUUUUUUAAUGAGUAUGCUAUUUUAUUUUAAUCAUAGCUGUUAAUCAACUGUUAUAAUAUAAUAUAAUCAUAGCAAAUUUAUUUAAAAUAUUAAUUUUAUAUAUGUAUAUUGGCUGUGUACGGUGGAUCCGGUAUGCAGUGGUCCUGGCAUUUUAGUGAAGCAUCAAAAGAUUCGUUCUCUUUCUUGACUGAGGGUCACCUGAGAAACCAGGACAAUUUUUUGUUUUUAGUCUUUUGGAUUUUCAGUGGACGAAAAUGCCCUCAGUGGGUGCUCCAAUCACUGCAUGAAAUGAACCUGGCAAGUGGCAUUUUGGUAAAAUGGAGAGGGUAAAUUUGGCAGCUUAGGUGUUCCCGUGGUUGGUGUGUUUGUCUGAUAUCUUGCUUUGCUUUGCCUUUGUAAUGUCCGUGUUGCUGUGUGGCAUGGUAGCAUUAGCUUUUUGACUUUUUCAGACAGCGUGCCCACGUAGGAUUCCAUUUUGGAGUUUCUUUUGCCUCAUGAAUAUGAUUCACCCUUCUUUUGUAGUUUUUCCUUCUCUCAAUCAGAGAAGAAGCUUUUUUAUUUUUUAUGGAUAGAAAUAAAAGACAAACACCAGAAGUUAUAAUAGUAUUACCUGAAAUAAAAAAUAUACAUUGUAUAUAGUUAUAUUCAUUGAUGCACAGUAAUAAAUAACUAAAUAGUAGUACUACUAUUAUAAUUAGAAUAUACAUUAAAAACUGUUAAUUAGUAUUAAUAUUGUUUUAAGGGUCUUACUAACUAGUAACUUUAGCACAUUGGUUAAGAAAUUAAAAGAGUAUUUAUCUUAUAAAUCAUAAGAUAACAUAAAAAAAUCAUAAAUAACAUAAUUUUCUGUUUUUCAAUAAAAAGAUUUAUAUUUUAAGUUUAUUAAACAAUAUUCUUAGAUAUUUGACUUAAUGAGAAAAAAGAGAUUACAUUGUAACGAGUACACAACAUAAAUAGGAGAGAGACAAUUGUUCUAUUCGAUAAAUUAUAGCUAAUUAAGUUGGAUGAAAGUGAGUUAUUCAAUAAAUUAUAGUUAUGCCAUGUUGGUUAGAUUUGAUAGCAACAAUAUACUGAGAACAUGCUGAGUUAAAUAACUCGUGCAUUUACUUCUUUUCAACACAUUUUUUUUUAUUGGUUGAAGUUAAUCUGAGUUUCCACUGAUUUGGGAAUAAAAUCUACCAAAAAAUCCACAUAUUUACUGGAACCAACAUGAAGGAGUUUAUUAGAGUGUCUUACUAAUGAUUUAUUUGUUAUAUUUGAAAAGAUUUUGGUGAUGGAAAUCCUAUUACAUGCCACAUAUUAUGAUCAGUUAAUGAAAAUAUAUUUUGUGUACAAUUAGGGAUGCAAGCCUUCAGAGGGCAUGGAGAUAGUUGGUGGAUCAUCAGCAGCAGCAAGCCCUUGCUCAUCUUACCAUCCAAGUCCAUGUGCUUCCUACAAUCCAAGCCCUGGCUCAUCAUCCCCUUACUACACCCAAAUUCCCAAUCCUGAUGGCAACUCCCUCAUUCCAUGGCUCAAGAACCUCUCCACUGCUUCAUCUUCAGCAUCCUCUCCCAAGCUUCCCCACCUCUACCUCCACAGUGGCUCCAUCAGUGCUCCUGUGACGCCUCCUCUGAGCUCUCCAACCGCCAGAACGCCACGAAUCAAUGCUGAGUGGGACGAGCAGUCUGCGCGGCCGGGGCCCGGAUGGACCAGACAGCAGCACUACUCAUUCCUGCCAUCUUCUAGUCCUCCCAGCCCCGGCCGCCAGGUUGUUGACCCUGAAUGGUUUGCUGGGAUCAAGCUUCCUCAUGUUAGUCCAACCUCACCAACAUUCAGCUUGGUCUCCUCAAACCCUUUUGCCUUCAAGGAACAUGCUUUGCCCUCCAGCGGUUCGCCAAUGUGGACUCCGGCUCAGAGUGGAACAUGCUCUCCUGCUGUUCCACCGGGUUCUUAUCAGAAUGCUGACAUUCCUAUGUCUGAUGCCGUUUCGGAUGAAUUUGCAUUUGGAAGCAACGUGUUGGGGCUUGUCAAGCCUUGGGAAGGAGAAAGGAUCCAUGAGGAAUUUGGAUCAGAUGAUCUUGAACUCACACUUGGUAACUCAAAGACCAGGUACUCCAGCAUUAUUACAUGAUCAAUUGAAUUUCUUCACUGAUAGUGUAAAGGAUUUUAUUACUAUUAACCAAUCAGAAAUUGUCAUAUGUGGUUUUUUUAAUCUUUCUUAAAAGUCAUACUUAGCAUAAUUUGUUAGUAGUUGACAGUCUAAAAACCUUUACAUUGUCGCCGUAGAGUAGUAGACAUGGUAAUCGGGCGGGAUGGAGACCGAUUUAGUCUCCCCGUACACUUAUCAUGCCUAGUGUAGAGAAAUUCAACUCUUUUCUUUAAAAUAUUUUUCUCCCCCUUUUGACAUGAUCUUUUUUACUUCUUGGCAGAUGAAGUCACAAAUAUGAAUUGAAUGUGAUAAUGUAAACAUUGACUUUUGUUGGUUUUGAUCAGUAGAUAUGUUAGAAGGUAAGUGAGGUGGUGAGUGCAAGCAGUUGUUUUCUUUUAUCCUUUUAUUUAUUUUUAUUUUGGUGACUUUCCCUUUUCAUUCUAUAGUUCUCCAGUAAUAUACAUGCUUAUUUAGAUGUGGAGUGGAUUUGCAACCCAUUCAUUUCAUCGUUGUACGUGUUGUUAAACCUUAAUUAUUGGAAACAUCAGUAUACAUUGUAUGGAUUGGCUUGGUUUGCCACUGACAGAACUCCACAGAUUGCAACCUAACUCAAUGGCAAAAACCCCUUGUGGAAAUUUGAUGGAAUGGUCCGAUUUUAUUGACAUGAGUUAUUUUUUGUGCUUGUUUUAAGAAACAAGUCAUGAGUUAUCACAUUCCUCUGCAUAUGGGUGACAUUUGUACAUGUUUCCAUGAAAUUAUGAUUCGAUAAAACUCUCCACUGAAAUAAAUCUUCAUUAUUUGUAUUAGAUCAAUGUUGUUAAUUGGUGGAACAAAUUUAAUAUCUCUGAUAAAAAAAUGACGAAUAAAUAAGAAUGGGUCAACAAAGAGCUGGGUAAAAGCGCAAACUACUAAAGAGUUUUUGUUCUUAUAAGAGAAGUAAAAGAUAAUGGCAACCUUAGCAUUUGUCACUUCAACACAAGAGUGUCAAGAAAGAUGGGGAAGAGAGGUUAGCUCAACAUGAAACUUGAUGAAGUCUCAUCAAACCCCCAAACAUUAAUUGCAAUACAAUGAACAGUACUACUGCAUGAUGUUUGACUGAUCAAGUUGUUAUGUGACACCUCAAAACUAGAACAUAACACUAGUCUAAAAUAUAAUUAAACGAUAGCAUUUUAGACUUGAAGACACGACAAUGGUAAUCUCAAAACAAAGAAUCAAGCUUUCUCCAAAGUCUACCAUGCAAAAAGCUAAGAAGCCAAAGCUUCUAAUUCCAAAGUCUUCUAUGCAGGAAUACAACUAGAAUCUUCAUCAUAGAAUCCAAAAUUUUAAAUUCCAAGAUUGCUACAUGAAGGGGUCAUCAAACUUUUACUGUCCAAAAAAUAACCAAAAAAAUAGAAAAUAAUGUUAAAUGUGCAAAGUGAGUGCAAUAUUUUGUUGUGAGUGUGCUUUAGUAUAAAUAACAAUGAGUCCCACGGAUUGACAAGACAUCUUGCAUUUAAGAUUGAAUUUGGCACCUUUGUGAAUUUUUGUUUUGAGUUUUUCUUUUUUAUUACAAGAGGUAUGACAUUUUGGUGUAUACAAUUUUGCGCCUUAUUUUCUCCUUAUAAUAAACCAUUAUUUCCCUUUCACUACCUUAAUAUUUAGUUAGUUUUUCUACUCUUUCUUAUUAUACUUUCUCUUAAUUUUUUGGGUACAUAAAACUAAUGUACCCAAUGUUAAAAGGAUUUGCAAAGGUAGGAAAGAUGGUCAUUUCUUGCAUUGGCAAAAGUAUUAUUUCUAGAUUUGAACCCACUCGUGUCCUCCAAGAAUUGCAUUUCAUAAUCUACUUACUGUUAUUUAACCUCCAUUUUUUAUCUUUUACAAAUAUGAAGAAACAUAGACUGUGUAUUUUUUCCUAGUUCUGAUAAAGACACAAACAAUAAUUUUUUAUAACUCAUAAAAAAUAUUUUUUUCAUCUCAUAAUAAUCGUCAUGUAAAAGAAUAAAUUUUAAAAGAAUUAUCAUUUUAAUUUUUUGAUUUAAAAUUAAUUUUUUAUAAUAUUAAUGAUGCACAAUAAAAACUAAAAAUAAAUUAAUAAUUAUAAAUAUAAUUUUAUAAAAAUUAUUAUUAUUAUUAUUAUUAUUUAUUUAUUUAUUAAUGUUUUAUGUAAAACAAUUAGGACGAUAAUUAUAAUAAGAAGCCAACAAGCAUUUCACUCAUUCACUUCACUACGUGUGUAAUAACGAAAUAAGGUAUCAUAUGAAAGGAAAACUGAAACAAUGAGUGAAAUGAUCAGCUGCAGCUCUCAGCCUUUAUUCAUCAAUGGCGGAAGAUUAUAUACAUGUGUAUAUGGGAAACAUAAAGCUGUUAUAACUGAAAGUUAACCGAAAGUUAACUAACCUAACUAACUCCCUUGUAACUAACCUAACAAAUGCUGUUAAGAGUGUGCAGUGUGCUCGUGUUGCCUUUCUGGUAAAGAAGAGAGAAAAUGACACCUCAAUUUGCAGCAAGCCACUCUUUUUUCCGCGUUCCUCCCACUUCCCCUUCUCUCCGUUUCACAAGGUAUUGUUGUAUCCCACCCCUUACUUUUAUUUUUCCUCUCAUCUCAUAGAUAUGCUGUUGUGUAUUUAUUGUUGUUGUUGUUGACUUAUAUUACACCCACAAGGGGAUCCUAUCCUUGUCAUGUUUUCCAUCUUCUGUAUAACUUGUAUUGUGAGGUCCCCUUGACUUAUUAAUUGUUGAGUUCUGGUGGUGGUUUCUCGCUGCCCGUGAUUGUUGAGGCCCCCUUAGUCAUUUGGGUAGUGGAGGCAUUAUCUCACAUGUCAUUGUUCGUACUUUUUAAUUUGAAAAAAAAGAUGCUUCUAAAGGGUGGAGGAUUUGAUUUGGUAGGUGUUGUGCUGAUUUAGAAUAAAUUUUGAAUUUCAGAGUGCACUCUUUAGCUUAAUCCCUGUUAUAGCUUAUAAAGGAGCUUAUAAUAAUGACGAAUUUGAAAAUCAGGGAACAUUGUUAAGCUUUUUGUAGUAACUAUGGCAUGUUAGAGAGACUUUUGUCGCAUGCUUCAAAACUGAUGAGUUGGUGUUGUUAUAUCAUGGUCUCCCUUGAUUUUACUCCAUUUGCAUUUGGAACUAACAUUUUCUUUGUAUUUGGUUUUAAACUAGGAAUAAAGAUUUGAUUCCAGAAAGAUAUACUAUAAUCAACAGGAAAAAGAAUCAUGCCAUCACAGCUUUUGCAGGCAAUUCUCUUGGUCAGUUAGCAUCUUGCUCCCCAACCCUUUUUUUAAGCAUCUUCUAUGUAAUUUUAAUAUUUAAAUAGCUCAAUUAAUUUGAUUUUUAAUAAAACAAUAGACCUCUGUAAAAAAUAUUUGCCAUUUGAAUAUGGAAAUGAGAGGUGACAUUUGAAACUUGUAUGCUGAUUUUGGCAAUAAUCUCCUCACAACAUUUUGUUUAUUUCAAUGCUAAGACAUCUUAUUCACCAUGUCAUCAAAAUGCAAUACCUUUUUCAAAUUGCAUGUAUUGUUUAGUUCAAGUGCUUAAAAAUUGUUUCUAGUCGUUUAACCCCCAAAUUCUUUAUAUCAGGAAAAUCAGCUAUCCAACUCAAUGCUGCUUCAUCUCCACUAUUUGCUGAUAAAGAAGCUCACCUCUCACUCAAACUUCCUAUGUCUCGAAAAUCCAAUACUACAAUCCGACAAGCAUUUAUAUAUCAUUCAUCUGGUUUCCGAAUCCCAUCAAAUGCUGAGAAGCCAGAAUGGUGGUGGAGGACUUUAUCCUGUGUUCCCUAUCUGUUAGCAUUGCAGAUAUCUGCAGCUGGGUUUUAUCUAGAACCUAUCCUUGAGAAAUUUCCAUUGUUUCGGAAUUUGGUUUUUUAUAUCCCAGGAGCUGUCAACCGAUUACCAAACUGGUUCCCUAUGCUAUAUUGCAAUGUGGCUAUUGUAUGGGUGGUAAAAAACAAGGACUUGCCCCUUAUCUUCAGAUUCCAUUUAAUGAUGGGAAUGCUACUGGAACAUGCUCUGCAGAUAGUGUGGAUUUCAAGCAAUUUCCUGCCACUUAUACACUUCAAGGGAACUUUGGGGAUGUAUUACUGGGCUGGUGUGGCGUUGACAUAUAUUUUUGUAAUAAUAAGGUGCAUAAGGUGUGCACUUCUGGGUACAUUUGUGAGUAUCCCUCUACUUAGUGAAUCAGCUUUUAUUCAUUCUCUAUUUAGUUAAUGAGGGUUUCAACGGCCAUUUUAGGAUGUGGUCAAGAGCAUAUGUACUAUACUAGUGGUUUUGCAGUUGAAUGAAGGAUUGUCUCUAUUUAAUUGAGUUUUUGUUGAUAUCUUUCCCCUGCCUUUGCUUAAACUUGAAAGGUUGGUAUUUGUGUUUGGGGUGUUGACAUUGGUAUUUUACUUCAAUUUAAUGAAAAACAUAUGUGAAAGUAUCAAACAGUAACUUGAUUAAAUAAUUUAAAAUACCUCAAAUUAUUUUUGAGAUUCAUUUUAUAUAUUAUAAUUUCUAUUUCUGUAUAUCUAUAAAUCAUGGUAAUUCAUGAAAGUGAUAAUCAUGAUGAAACAUGUAUUACCUCAUUUGUUUACUAUUCAAACAUUACUUCUUCACAAAACCAAAUAAUGAUGUAUGACUGUAUGACUAUGACUGUAUAUCGUUUCAUCAACAUUCCUGAAAGUUAAAAAGGCCAACCCACAUGACUGAAAAUAUCUCGAGAGUUCGACAAAUCUCGUUUUUUUCUGUAUGACUGUAUAUCGUUUCAUCAACAUUCCUUUUUCUCUGCUUUCAAAUAUCUCAACUAGCAUUCCUCUUCUUAUUAGAUUUCUUUCUUCUCUAUUUCUUUGUCUCCAAGUGCCAUUUAUUUCUGGAAAUUUAGGGGAAGGAAAUAAGGUAAAAGAUAAUAAGAGAAAGAUGCUACCUUUUCUAUUAUUAAGAUUUAGAUUUGUUAAAUAUUACUCUCUUUUUUAUGAAAAUCAAUUACUUUUCAUUUAGAUUAGUUAACAUUCUCGAUCUAUAUAUUAUAUACAUGAUGGGUUUUGGGAAUCUAUAAAUAUUAAUAACUCAAUAUUAAUUUUUAAUUCUCACCUUAAUCAUAAGGACUAAGUUAACAUGAAAUUUAUAAAUUCAAAUUUUUUUUUUUAGAUUACAAGUGCCAGUUAUUUAUUUUGGUUGACAAAGGAACCUAGGCCCAAGAAAACAAAGAUUAAAAGGAAAUUAACGAGAAGCAAGAACUCUCAAAACAUCAUAAUUAACAACUGGUUUAACUGAAUAGGAGGUUGAUCAUAAUUCAUAAAUCCAUAACCCAGUCCUCCCAGUUGCAUUAGUACUCUUGAUAUCUCUUAUGUUUCGGACAUCCGCUUCUAAAUUCAUAUUGGAUAAAUAUUAGUUAUUAACUUUUUAGUUAGAAAAAUUUAAACUAAUAAUCUUUUUUUCUCCCUUUUUCUUUUAAUCAUAAACCAAUCUUAUAACUCCUCUGAAUCCAUAUGUAGUUCCAGUUCCAUGCAAUUAUGCUAAAAGAAGCCCUUCAUAUGCUCCCCACCGCUCUGGUACAUAUGCAGUAGCUACGCCAAUGAAUUUAGUGAACCCACAGCCAUUUACCUCUGUCAUCUUAACAGUCCACCACAUUCUUCUGUUCCUCGUUUCCCUUUUGUGAAAAAUAACUGUUUAGUAUUAUCCUAAAAUAUACUAAAAGUGUAUAAUUAAUUGCAUUAUAAGCAAAUUAAAAUAUCCUCCCCAAUUCUCACUCAAACCAUUGAAAAUAUAGUUCUUAUAAUUUUGCACUUAUUUUUUUAUUUUAAUCUCUAUAAUUUUUUUCAUGUUUAAUUUCUAUAAAUUUAUGUUUCUUUAAUUUUGGUCUUUUUUUUAAUCCUAGUAAACUUGUGUUUUUUUUUUUAAUUUUAGUUCCUUUAAUAUUAUUUUUUUCAUUUCACAAUACUUAUAAGAAUCAAAAUUAAAAAAAAGAAUACAAAUUUAUAAGAAAAACUAAAAACAAGCAAUUUUUUUAUAAAAAUCAAAUUAAAAUAACACAAAUUUACAUAAUAAAACAAAAUCUCUGAAAUGAAGAGAUUCACUUUGGUUUUGUGGUGUGGCCAAACGUAAUGUGUCGAGAAUUCACGUGUUCUCAUUGGCUGAUUUUUUGUUUUAUAAUUUUUCAUUCAUCGUUAUCAUUCAUCACUUUCAUCACUUGAAUCCUUUUUUUUUUUCCAUUCAAGUAAAAUCUUGGUCCUCCUCAUCCACAACACAAAGACCAAAUCCUACGCAACGUGUCGUUAAACCAAACCCGCGUGCUCCUUUUCCAUUUCUCAUUUCCUUCAAGUACUUCAGUUCUCAGCACACCACAUCACCUUUGCAGCAGCCUCCAUAAUAUUCCAAUUCAUCACCCUCUUUUCAAUAUUCCCUUAUUAUCGCUUUGAUUCGUUGAUUUUUUUAAUUCUUUACCUCAAUUUUAAUAAGAAUCAGUUUUUGUAGUUUUGAUUUGUUGUAGUAAGAUUAAUUAACUAUUCAGAUUCAGUUAUUGCCAGCUUUGAUUUCUUUUUUUUUUUUUUUUAAUUAGGUUUGCAAGUAAAACCCAAACCCAAACCCCUAGACCUUGGGAAUAGUUUGUGAGUUGUGUUGAAAAAGAAUCGGUUCUUGUCUCGUUUUAUUUCAGAUAAGAAAGUCUUAGAUUCAGAUUCAGUUGUUGACGCUUUGAUUCGUUUUCUUCUAAUUAGAUUUGCGAGUAUAGGUGAAGCCCUAGGUCUUAUGGAUAGGUAGUGAGUUUUGUUGUUGAAGAAGAAGAAGAAAAUGUCUGUGGAAAGGUCGUUUGAGGCAUGGGAAGAGGUGCAGCGUCACGGGCAGGACCUAGCUGACCGUCUUGCCCAGGGUUUUAGCGGUUUGAUUCACACGCAUAUGAGCCCUCCGCAAUUCGCGUGGCCGAACCCUCCGACAUCGAAGCUCUUCGAUCUGGAGUUCCCUUCGCAGAACUUUGGGAAGAGGGAUUUCGCUUUGGCGACCCAGGAGUACGGGAUUAAUGGCGUGUCAGCGAUUUUUGACAUCGGGAAUCGGAUCGGUCAGGCCGGGGCGGAUUUCGGUGCCAGCUUGAACGGGCUGGUUCAGCAGUUUUUCCGGUCGUUGCCGGUGCCGAUGCCAUUCAAGCACGAGGAGAGUUCAGUGAGGGUGGAGGGUGGGGAUAAGGGGUGGCAGAGAGGAGGGGUUGUGGUUGCUGUGCAGGAGGAUUUGGGAUUGCUUAGUGAGAGGUUGAAGAAUCGUGGGUUUGCUGAGAGUGUUAGUGGCAGUGGUGGUGGAAGCGCGGAGGAAGAGGGUGGUGGAGGGUUUAACCUUGGGUCUAUUGGUCUUCUGGGCAGGCGACAGGUAAACAUUCUUGGUGUUGGUGUUGGUUGGUUUUGCUUUGUAUAUGCUGUGGUUUUGUAUUAUAGGCUUGUUAUUGUUAAUUUGCUUAUUGACUGUUAGAUUUGGAAGUGAUAACUGUUGCUGUUCAAUUGCUUGCUUAUUGAUGGAGAGAGAUAAACAGUUGUUGUGUAAUGGGAAGAGAGGAUUUAUUAUUGUAAAAGAGCUAUUGAAGUAAUUGUCUGCAAUGGUUUACUGUGCAAUAUUGGUGUUCAGGUGCAGAAGAAACAGUUUUUAUCUCUAAAAGUUUAUUCUGUUUUAGAUCAACUAGCCAUCCUGAUUAGAUUGUGCCUUUGAUGGUGGAAUUGCGGUGUUGAAUAUUAUUUUGAGGAGGGCCUGUCCUUGUCUUUGUUAUGUUUUUAUUUAUGUUAAUAUAAGAGGAAACCACAGAGGAUUGUUAGCUUUUUGCAUUGGAGUUGUUUUCUGUUCAUUGCUUCAGUUUUCUUGUUGGGAUUCAUUCAUGAUGGGUGAUGUCCAUUGGCAUCUUGGGGCCUUAGUAUAGUUGCACAAGUCGUAUUUUACAGAAAGAAAAGAGGAAGCGUUGAACAAAUGCUUUCUUACUUUAUCAUUUGUAAAAUAUGUACCUGGAAAUUUAUUUUCUUUCCAAUGCCCACAAUUCCCCCAAAUAUAUGCAGCAUAAAACUUGUAAAUUUUUUAAUAGUGAGUACUUGCUCUUACUAGUUCAGAGUAAAUUAAUAUUUGUUUAUGACAUUGAUCAAAUUAGCAAUAGAGCAUAUCAACAGUACUAUUGAUUGUGAUGUUCAAUUAGAAUUAGAAUCUCUUGAAAAAUGAUCUACAUUGUGGAACAGACACUAUUAUUGAAUUCCUUCAUGAUUUGAUAUGCCAACUAGCUUUUAAAAUUUUGAUUGGUUAGAAAGAUUUCUUGUUUUCAACAUUUAUUUUGAAACAUAUGUAAAAGAUGUGCAAGCUCUGGAAUCUGUAUUUUGUGUGGCUAAAUUCUCUUUCCUCACUCUGUUGAUUCGUUCCUCUAUCUAUUUCAUUUACUGGUUAUAUUUUUUCAUGUACAGGGAAUCAUAAAUUUUACAUCAACUUAUGAUAGUAGAACUCAAGAAGUGGAAGGUUCUUUAGUUGCAAGGGGAGAUUUGUGGAGAGUAGAGGCAUCACAUGGUGGUUCUGCGUCUAGAAAUGAAAAUUCAUCUCUUUUCCUGGUUCAGCUUGGACCUCUUCUCUUUAUCCGUGAUUCAACUCUCCUCUUGCCUGUUCAUUUGUCAAAGCAGCACUUGCUGUGGUAUGGCUAUGAUAGAAAGGUAAAGAUGAGGUUCAGCUGGCUAAUUGGACUUUGCCACAAAAUUGGUAAUAUAUAGGGAAGGUGAAUAAAGCAUGUCCAUUGACAUUGUGUUUUAUCCUUGAAAGCAACUGUGUAAGCAUGUUCAUAUGCAUUUGAUCAUUGAACACUAUUUGCUCAUUGAGUUGUUAAUCAGCUUUCCUUUCGAAGCUAUGGUAAAGUAUGCUGAAAUGAUGCCCAUGCUAGUAUAAGUAUUCAUCUUGAACAUUAUAAUAAUUUAUGUAUUUUUUAGGCAGCAGCAAUUUACAGUAUAGUUUGUAUGCCUUUGUUUUCUUGUUGAAAUUACUCUUUCAUACUUGGUAAAAUUAUUUAAUUAUUGUUUAGAAUUGCGUAUUUAGUUUCCAUCUUCAGAGUUAUAUUGCAUGUGGAUGUUUUGUGUAGUGCUCCCUACCCAAAUUUAGCUUUUUAUUAGCUUACGUGAUAAUUUUUUUUUGUCAGAAUGGAAUGCAUUCUCUUUGUCCAGCAGUGUGGUCAAAACACAGAAGGUGGCUGUUAAUGUCCAUGCUUUGCCUGAAUCCCCUAGCUUGUGUAAGUUGAUAGAUUAUCUAUAUGUUUGGAUCAGCGUCCUGCACAAUAGAUGCACAUAAUGGACGUGAAAAGCAGAAACUACUCUUCUUAGCUUCUGCGUAUUUUGUGUACUGGAUGUGGAGAGAGACAAUAUGAUCCACGGUUUCUAAUUUUUUCCAAACACGCACUAUGUUGUCAUGAUGCCUCUAAAAAUAUUUGUUCUAAUUUUAAGUUUUUAUACAGUGCCAUGAUGAUUUCUACCCUGAAAUAAAUUUCCUAUCAUCAUUUUUUCCCCUCUUUCUGCAUGCAGUCAUUUGUGGAUCUUCAAUUCCCUAAUGGGCAACUAACCUACGUAUCUGGAGAGGGUCUAAGUACCAGUGCUUUCCUUCCUGUUUAUGGAGGUCUUCUUCAAGCUCAGGGUCAAUAUCCUGGGGAAAUGAGAUUCAGCUUUUCGUGCAAGGUUAGAAUCCAAGUUAUUGAAGGCUUUGAUGAAAUGAUGUUUGAAGUUCACAAUAUGUUAGUUUGAACUGUUUUCCUUGUGCACUGGAACUAAUAUUGGUUACUCUUCUACUUUUUUAGAAUAAGUGGGGAACAAGAAUCACACCAAUGGUACAAUGGCCUGACAAAUCAUUUUCUUUGGGUCUUGCUCAAGCCUUGGCCUGGAAGCGAUCUGGUCUAAUGGUGAGGCCAUCUGUUCAAUUCAGGUAAGAUGUUACUUAGUGGCAGGGGAAAUGAAUGGUGGUGCUGUGAUUAUUAUUGGGGUUGCGAAGACACUUUCGCAAGGUUAUCCUGGAGAAAAUAUUUGUGCUGCUUCACUUAGUUGAUGUUGUCUAUAUGUGAUGAUUGCUUGCUUGUCUACCUGCUUUGAAUUUAGAAUGAACUUCUCCAGUCUAGAUAAAAUUGUUUACUCUAGAGUAUGGACAAAUUUUUAUGCUUAAAAAUUCAAACAUUGUGUUCGAGUAGUACACUAAAGUUUGAAAGCAUAGUUCACUCUUUAAAUAAAUGUAGUGUAAUUUGAUGGUUUCAUUCAUGAGAAAAAAAGAAGCUUUUGUAGCUGUGUUUUCUUGAUUUUAAUCCUGAUUAAGAAGCAUUGGACUAUGUGACCUGCCAUGCUCUAUUCUUUAAUUUAAGAUGUAGUUCACAAUUGAGAAAUUUGGAUGUGUAAUGUAACUUCUAGUUUUCUGAACUGUGUUUUUGUUGUAUUUGUUUUGCCUCUGCUUGGAAAACUAUUUGUUUCAAAUAUUGUAAUAACAUAAUCGAUCAAAUGGUUUUCAUCCCUGUGUAAAGGGGUAGAGGGAGACCAAGAAGGACAUGGACAGAAAUAAUUAAAAGGGAUUUUAUAGUGAAUUAUUCCUUGAGUAUUUGGUUUUUAAUCGGGUCCAAUGAUGUUGUGUGACCGAUCUAACUGAUUUUACUUGAUGGGAUUAGACUAUUGUUGUUUUAUUCUGGAAACAUAAUAGUGUUUUGGAUUAGUUUAUUUUUGUUCAAAUAGCUUUUGAUCAAAAUCUUACUGAGAGGGCUUGAGCUUUUCAGAAAAAAAGCUAUUGGCCCUGCAAAUUAUGCCAGUCUAAUUAUGUCUAAUAUAUCUAAUGCAUCUAUAAUACAAAUGUAACUAAUCUUUUGGUGUACUUCAUUAUUGCCUCCAAUUCUCUCAUUAACUUAUAUUUUCAAUUUCAUUCACACACCCUGAUCUGUUUUGAUAUUCUAUAUGUGGUUAGUGUGUGUCCUACUGUUGGUGGAAGCAAUCCAGGGUUGCGGGCAGAACUCAUUCAUUCAGUUAAAGAGAAACUUAAUCUAAUUUGUGGAUGUGCUUUCAUGACAUAUCCUUCUGCCUUUGCUUCAGUAUCUGUAAGUUGUUUCUGAAUAAGCAUAACUUGUUCUUGAAUUAUGCAAGUGUUAUUUUGGAUGUUUUCUAAUGUCGAAAAACAUGUUUAUGAUAGCAUAAGGAGUCUGCGUGUUAUAAUUCUUAAUGUUGUUCAUUAAUCAUAAAAUGACUGUUAUCAGUUGAUCGGGGAAAUGUCAGUUCACUAAUCACAAGGUGUUGCUUAGUUGGCUAACUGAGCCCUGUAGGAUUUGAAACCCAGUGGAAUUACCUUGUGGUUAGGGCCAAGGUGACAUUGAAUCGCACAUUAGUAUCACACCCAAAGGGUCCAGGGCAGGACAUGGCAUGAUUUACCAAAAAGUUGGAUGCCUUUUUACUUCCUUUUUUUUCUUUGUUAUCAGCUGAAUAGUAUGUUAAAAAGUAUAGAAAUUACUUCCUACUUUUGUUACUCAUAAAAAGAUAGCAAAUAGUCACAAUACAAUUCUAAUUAUAUAUCUAUGCCCCCAGGGCUAUUUUGAAUUUAAAGUCAGCUAUUUUCUAACUGUUUUGUUCAAGUACAUACUAACAAUAACAAUGGAAUUUGUUAUAAUCCAGUUGUAAUUUUUCUUGGGUUUUUAUUUGGGUGAAAAUAUUGGAAAUGAGAUAUGAAAUAUUAUUUAGUUUAUGUUGGUGGUUUUUUUUAGAAAAUAGCUGACUUUAAAUUCAAAAUAGCCCUGAGGGCAUAGAUAUAUAAUUAGAAUUGUAUUGUGACUAUUUGCUAUCUUUUUAUGAGUAACAAAAGUAGGAAGUAAUUUCUAUACUUUUUAACAUACUAUUCAGCUGAUAACGAAGAAAAAAAGGAAGUAAAAAGGCAUCCAACGUGAGUCUAAAUGUCUAAUAUGUAGUAGUAGACUAGUAGGUAUAUAAAAUUGGCAUACUUUAACCUUUUUAAGUUCUUAUUUUUUAGUUACUACACCAGCUGGAAAUCUCUGAAUAGGAUCACUAAUAUUUAUCUAUAUUGAUUAUUUCAUGCUUUAUUACCAUUGUAGACUUUUAUCAGCACUAAUUGUUGACUAUUAUUUCAUGCUUUAUUACCAUUGUAGACUUUUAUCAGCACUAAUAGUUGACUAUUAUUUCCAAAGAUCAUUGUGGAAGGAGAGUGCUUAUGUAUCAUAAUCUAAAUGGUUUGUCUUUUUUACAGAUUGGAAGAUCAAAGUGGAAUGGAAAUGUGGGGAACUCGGGUCUAGUUCUAAGAGUUGAUGUUCCUCUCUCCACCGUUGGGCGCCCUUCCUUCUCCGUUCAGAUAAAUAGUGGCAUUGAGUUUUGAUAGCAUUCUGGUGUUUGGUAUCAUCAGUUUUAUAUUUUGCAUGAAGUGUACAUAGGUUUGGUUCCUUGACAGUACUUGCAGGAAAUUAAAAAAAAAACUCCUAACAACAAAGCUUAGUCUUUUUAUGUGAAUAGAAAAUCCUAUUCUGGUAGUGUAUUAGUUUUAGUCUUGUCAUUUUCUAUGGUACAUCCCAAAUCAUUUUGGAGCCUGGUGUACUUAUUGAAUUUCUAAUUAUUUUGAAGGCGUAAUUUGUAAAAGUUAGAUUCAAAUUGUGUUGUGAGAGUACUUGUUAUUUACGUCUAGUUUUUAUAUUUCGUAGAUUAGUAUUAAUAUUCAUAUUCUAAUAGUGUUAUUAAUUGGGGAGGAUCUUCCCUUUGUAAGAGAACUUCAACUUCUCAAGCAAUUUUUCCAUGAAAUGAGAAAUUUAGACAUGAAUUUUGGUGGUAAGGUUCCUUGAUCUUCGUCUAUCAUACCAAACGCCUUAAAUAAAACGCCUUAAAUCAAACUUUGAUUUCUUUCUUCAUGAUUAUUAGUGAAGUAUUAUUCAUAUUUCGUUGCAUUCCUUUGUCAAUUGUCAAUUUGGUUUGAAGAGAUAGUCAGGAUUCUAUUCUAACAAAGUAGGCUUCUGCCAUACAACUUAAGUGGUUUAACUUUAAAUGCAACAUAGUAGACUUCGUGGUUUUUGACCAUUUGAGUUUCCAUUUUGAAAUUUCAAUUUCAAUGAAUAUAACUGAAAAUUACAAAUUUAAACUCAGUUCUAUUAUUCAAAUACAAGAUAUAAAAUUAGAAAUAAAAUUAAUUACAAAUAUCAUAUAAAAAAGCAUUUAAUAAAUCAGUAUCUGUAAUUAAAUAUAAUAAUAUAAUUAAUUAUUAUCUUUAAAUAAUAAUUUGACUAGGUUACAUCAUUUGGAUAAACUUCAGUAUCUGUAAGUUGUUUCUGAAUGAGCAUAACUUGUUCUUGAAUUAUGCGGGACUUAUUUUGGAUGUUUCCUAAUGCUGUACAAACAUGUUUAUAUCAAAAGGAGUCUGCGUGUUAUAAUUCACUAUUGGCUUAACAUUAUUUUUGCUUAAGCACAAAAUGACUGUUAUAUCAAAAAGAGGGAAAUGUCAGUUCACUAAUCAUAAGAUGUUGCUUAAUUACCCUGUGGUUAGGUAAAAGUUUGCAUUUAAGUGCAGAUUAGUAAUAUCACACCCAAAAGGGUGUCAGGACAUUGCAAUAUUUAUCUAUAUUGAUGCUUUAUUACCAUUGUAAACUUUUAUCAGCACCAGUUUAUAACUAUAAUCCAAAGUUCAAGGAUAGUGCUUAUGUAUCAUAAAAUGGUUGUCUUACUUUUAAUAGUGUUACAGAUUGGCAGAUCAAAGUGGAAUGGAAAUGUGGGGAACUCUGGUCUUGUUCUAAGAGUUGAUGUUACCAACAACAAAGCUUUGUCUUUAUGUGAAUAGAAAACCCUAUUUUGGCAGUGUAUUAGUUUUGUCAUAUUGGAUCGUGGUUUACUGCUUAUUGAAUUAAUGUCUAAUUAUUUUACGGGUAUAUAACUUCUAAAAGUUAGAUUCAAAUUGAGUUGUGAGACUACUUCUCGUUAUUUUUUCUUGAGUUGUGGGAGUACUUCUAGUUGUUAUUUUUCUUAGAUUAGUAUUAAUAUUCACAUUCUAAUAGUUAUUUAAUUGUGGAGGAUCUUUCCUUUGUAAGAGAAGUGCAGCUUCUCAAUCAAUUUUUCCUUCAAAUGAUGGGAAAAUUAGAUAUGAAUUUUGGUAUAAGAUCCCUUGAUCUUCGUCGGUCUUGCCGUGCUCAUAGCUUUUAAAUCAGACAUUAAAAAAGAACCAGUCAAUUGUCACCUGAAUAAAGCUUGAAGAUUAACCUGUGGGUUUAUUUAACUAUCAUCUAUCGUUGGGAUCAUAGAGACUAUUGGCUAAAGUUUUGACAGUUUCUGGCAAGGCUGUAGCAUGUUCUUAACAAACCAUGAAAAUAAGUUUACAUCCGUAGAAAAAUCUCUAGGAAUUCAUACUUUAAGGCAAUAACUGUUUUCAGUUUGGCAUAAACUUUUUCUUCAUUUAUUAUUUGUUGAAUUUCGAUGUUAAAUUUUAAGGCUGUGAUCCUAUCUCCAAGCCUUACAAUUCAUCGAAGUCUAAUAAACAAUAAUAUUCACCCAAAAACAUCUGAUGGUUUUGUAUGAUGCAAAUUAAACCUUCCUAUCUGACAUCACUGAGUUAUGCCUCAGAAAUCAAUGUUGUUGGCACUUUGAAACUUAAGUUGAAUGUAAUAUUCUUAAGAUUAACACAUUAAUUGGGGGUUUCGACCAAAAGGGAAAUUCUAUUUGAAAUUUAUUAAAUGGGAUAGGGUAAAUCGUACAUUACUUCACUGAAUAUGAAAUUGUUAAAAGAAUUGAGACUUUGAUUCUUAUUUUUUUUAUAAUGAAGUUGUAAAAAGUCCAAUGAAUUUAAUUUUUUAAUUAUUUAUAUAAAGUCAUAAAAUUUCCACACCUUUAAAGUUGUGAUUAUUUUUUAAAAUUAAUUUUGAAUGACUUUAGAAUCGUUUUAAUUAUAAUUUUAUAUUUUAUUAUUUAAUUCUUUUAAAAAUUUAAAAUAAUUGUAAUUAAUAUUUUUUAUAACUCAAAAAUUUAAAGUCAUUCAAAUAAUAAUUAUAAAAUUAUUAAACGACUUUAAAGUAAAAAAAAAUUAUGAUUUUAUAUAAAUAAUCACAAAAAAAAAUAAAAAUCGUUAAAUUUUUUACAACUUCACUAUUGAAAAAAAAUCAAAGUCAUGAAUUUUUUUAUUAUUUCAUACCUAAAAAUAGUAAAAUAAUUUAUGACUUACCACAUUUGAAAAUUAAUUCAAAAAUAUCCCCAUUUAAUAAAAUUCCAAAUGAAAUUGAAACCCCCAUUAAUAGCCUUUAAACCACCAUACAUACAUAUAGCAAGCAACUAUGAAUUAAAAUUUAAUGAGUUAACUUCCCCUACUUGCAAAUCACACAUAAUUGGAAAAUCUAAGAAGUUGAUCGGUUGAAGCCUAAUCAAUUCUACUUGGAAGUGAUAUGGAGGAGUCAAGCCAUGGCCCCCCCAUUGAUUUGCUUCUUUGCUCUAUACUAUCUUCUGAGAAUGCAGAAGAGACUUGAGUUUGACUGUCUUGUGAUAGCAUCUCAAAGGCUUUAAAUCUUACAUCUUCUGCACUGUCACCGCGUUUAAUAAUUGGUGCUUGAAUUGGAGUUUUUCCAUCAAGCAUGCUCACUACUGAUGACAUACAUGGUCUAAGAGUGGGAGAAGGAUUGGUGCACAAGAGUGCUAACUGCAGCAUUCUCAUGGCCUCUUCUGAGGAGUACUUUGAACCAAGACUUGGAUCCACCAGCUCCAGAAGGUUUCCUUGCUCUUGGAGAACAUAGGCCUUCAAUGACAUGCAACAAAUAGUAUUAGAAAUUCAAGCAAACAAUAACGGGGAAACAAGAAAGGAAAGCACAAAAUAAGAAAAAAGAUAAGUAUAGCCCUACUUAUAUUUAAAGUAUCAAAUUAUCCUCAAUCCUUAUUAUAGUAGGAGAUGAAUGGCAUGAAGACUUGGAUAUAGAUGAAAAAGGCAAGAUACUUUGAAAAUAUUGAACUAGGUAUAUUUUGUGACGAUGACAGGAUAAUUUGUGUAUUAUGCACCCCAGAUGCUCCCACUUCAAUCUAUCGAAAACACAAAAGUGUAACUUACCCAAUCUAAAAGAUAUACAAACUCCUCCUUUGGCCUAUAAUUUGUGUUGCUCUUUCCACUAACAAUCUCUAAAGCUACAAUUCCAAAGCUAUAGACAUCUGCUUUGUCAGUCAAGUAACCCCUCAUAGCAUACUCAGGAGCCAUGUAACCACUGAUAAGAAAACAUUUAAUACCCUUGUGUCAGUGAUUUCACAAAUCAAUGAAAUGUGUAUUUUUUUUUUUAUUUAAAUGAUUAUAAAUGCAAGCUAUAGAUAUAUUGUGGAUAACACUGCAAGCCUAUUAAUGAUGAACAAAGUCUAGGAUUCAAACAGGAAAUGCUGUGGCAUAGUACUAACAUUGUCCCAGCAACUUUUGUGCUGAUAUGAGUAUUCUCUUCUUCAUCAAGUUUGGCUAAACCAAAGUCAGAGAUCUUGGCAUGCAGAUGUUUAUCAAGUAAGACAUUGGUUGCCUUAAUAUCCCUGUGCACUAUUUUCAACCUUGAUUCCUCAUGAAGAUAAGCUAAGCCCUUUGCAAUACCCAGACAAAUUUGCAUUCUUCUGGGCCAGUCCAAUUGCAUCCUCUCAUGUUCUUUACCUAGAAAAGGAAAACCUUUUCAGUUAGAUUUUAACUUGGUAGCGGCAUACACAGCCAAAGAUGUUCAUGAAGCAUUUACCAAAAAGUGCACGAGCAAGACUAUUGUUCUCCAUGUACUGAUAUACUAGCAGCAGCUGGUUUCCUUCAAUGCAACAGCCAUAAAGUUUCACAAGGUUUGGAUGCUGCAAAGCAGAUAUCAUGCCUAUUUCAUUGAUGAAUUCACGAUUCCCUUGCUUUGAUUUGGAGGAGAGCUGCUUAACAGCAAUCACAGCACCAUCUGAUAGUACACCCUGUGAAUAGCAGUAUCUUUAGUACCAUGUUUUCAUUUUAAAAAAUAUUGGGGAUAAAAAGACUUAACCCCAAUGUUUCAAAACUUCAUACUGCAUAAGAUGAUUAUAAUCUAUCAAAUUUACCUUGAAUACUGGUCCAAAGCCUCCUUCACCUAUCUUAUUUGCUGGGUCAAAGUUAUUAGUAGCAGCUUUAAUUUGUCUUAAACUGAAAUAACCUGUUUUCAGACCUAGAAGUUCUGCAACAAGGUAGAUGUAGCUACUCAGAAAUAAAAUGUAUAAUUGAAAAGAAAGAGAGGUGAUAGAGAUACAGAAAGAGAGAAAUCAGAGAAUUGUUUUUGAGAAACCAAGUGUGCAUUUUCUGUUACCUUAAAAUUACCACAAUUUAGAUCUCGGCAAUAAAUUUCAAGUUGUUAUAUAAUCUACUAUUAAUAUUUAUAAAAAAAAUUCAUGUCUAUUAGUAUAUUCCAAGAUUCUAAUAGAUGUAUAUGCAUCAUGCUUGACUGCAAACCAAUCUGAACUUUGUAAUAUCAAAAACCAAAUCAUAAGGGUUGUAACUGCCUGCUUAAUUUGGACUUCAAUCUUACCUUGGUCUGUUUGAUCUUUCUGACAAAGGAAACCCAUCUUCCAAAGAGCAAAGAGCAUCAAUAUGACAAUCACACAUGCCCCAGCUACAAUUCCAACAAUUGUUCCAGUAGAGAACCCAUGUGCAUAAACUUUAAAGUCUACAGCAAAGUGGAAAUGCUUACAGAACAUGAAAGGACAAGGUAUUUGAAAGAGAGGACACCAAUAUUAUGAAAACUACUUACUUGGGGUCACAGUGAUAGCAGAUAUGAGAGGUCCAUAUACACCUCUUAUAGGAAUGGCAUUAGUUCCUUUCCCUGCCCAGGAUAAGUGGAUUUCCAAGGUGCUUUCUGUAACAUUAACAUUAAACUCCCUAGUGAUUCCCUUACCAACUCCCCCAGCUUCUUUCGCAAUGUUAAAAUCUUUCAAAUAUUUAAAACCCUGUCAAUGUACAGUAAUGAAAAUAUCGAACUUUAGAACUCGUGUUAUUGGAGAACCAGAUACAAAAUAUGAGUAAAAUUUUAAGAGAAACAAAAAAAAUGUAACAUUGUUUGCUUCAUUUACUCACUUGAAUUGAUACAUCAAAUACACGCUUUCCAAGGUUGCUAUAUGAGUGGUCAUCAGAGAAUGCUAUCUCAGCAAAAUGAAGUUUCACUUUAUAAUUGCCGUUCAGCAUACAAAGGCCAUAGUAAUUAAGAUACAGAGGAGCUAUGCGGGCUGUGUGGUAGUAAUCAGGGCCAUUAAUAUCCAAAGAAAACUGAUUUGUUGCUAUAUAAUCAGCUUUAUCAUUUCCUAGAUAUACUCCAGUGCUGCUAUAAGCCCAUUUGCCACUAUUACCAGGAACAUAGUUUGAAAUGCCAAAUGGACUGAGGUCAGCUUCAUAUUCAUUGCCCUCAAACUUUGUUUCAGGUCCUCCACAGUUUAUGAACAGUGAAUGAACUGGAGAGAGACACAGUGAAAGCGAAUAAUUUAUCAAGAAAAAUGAAUAUGCUUAAUGAAAAAGCAGGGAAAUAAAGAAAAACAAAAAACAAAACUUGUUCUCAUACAUGUUACUUCAAAUUUCAAAAUUUCAAAAAACAAUGUUGGUUAUCUAAGUCUAGACACUCACACUGGGGUUUUCCUGAACAAGGUUGGCCAAUCUUCAAACAAGAUAUUCUACAAGAUAUAAAGAUAUAAUAUUAGUUUCAACUGAUGAUUCAUAGCUGAUAUUAUAGAACUAAAACUAGUCCACAAGAAGGAACAUACGAAGUGUUUGCUGUGCGAGAGAGGCUUGAAGCUAAGUUCCUGUUCAAUGAUAAUACCAUGCUUAUUAUUGGCAUAGGUGAAAUGCUUAAAUAAUUUGUAGACAAAAAGAAGCUUACACAUCCAGCAUUUGGCAAAUAUUUGCAGAAGUCUUUGUGAAAUUGUUCAAAGAUAAAUCACUGAAAGAGAACAUAAAGUGAGAAUAAAUUUCAUAAUUCAAUGAGUGCUAACUAAAGAGAUAUGCUUACAUAUGCUUUUUUAUGCUCAGUAUCCAAUCAGGAAUUGGUCCACUUAGAGAAUUGUUUGUCAGAAACCUGCAUCCAUCAUGAAUAUAUGUCUCAUUAUAUCAGAAAAAAAUAAGUUGAGAAAAAGCAACCAACAUUCUUGAGAUCAAAUUAAUAUAAACAUUCACAUCCUUUCGGCUAAUCUUCUUGCUGGCAAAUGAAAAUACACACUUACAAGUAAUUUAGAUUUCCCAAAUCCUGAAAUGAAUCUGGGAUUGAACCUGUUAACAUGUUGGAGCUCAGAUCUCUGAAAGAGAAAAUAGGAAAUUACUAUGAUGUAGUAAUGGCACAUGCCACUUCCAAAUUCUAACAACAAAAUAUAAUGGAGGUAAUAUCAAGUUUCCAAUAAUUUUUAUUUUUUUUCUCUUUUUGCUGGCAUUUUGAAACACAAUAUUGCAGAUAAUAAUUUGCACAGAUGAUGCAUACUAAAAUUUAUAUCCACAUUCUUGGUAGUUAUAUUGUCAUUAUACUGGUAUAACUAACCAACAAAUCACAAUCACCUUAAAGGAAAUGCCCCCAAUGAUUACACAAACAGAUGAAGAGUGUCCAAAAAUAAGUCUUGAAAAAUAUCUAACAAUAGUUGAUUACCAGAGGGGCAAAGAAGUGUUAAUCACAAAAUUAAUUGGAUUCAAAUUAUUUCCUAAAUCCUGAUCUUUAUAAUGUAGAAAUUCAAUACUCAUAAACUUUAUCUAAUGAAGAAUAGAUGGAGAAAAGGUGCUACCUAACAAUAUAGGUGCAAAAUUAAAAUAAACACAUACUGUAGAAAUGGAGAUGAUAAAAUGAUCAAAUUAUUACAGAGUGACUUCUAAAUCCUUAAUUGUGUCAUGAUUCAACUAAAAUUAGAAUGUGUUUUUGUAUACUAAAAUUAAAUAGAUAAUAAUGAGAUUGGUAAACAGGUAGAUAAAAAAACUAAAGAAUAUAUAGCUAGUUAUAUACUCUUGAUGCAACUUACAUGAUUUUCAAACUUUCUAUUUCUCCAAUGUAGUUUGGAAUGGGACCAGUUAUUAAGCAAUUCCUCAAUUCCCUGAGUAACAGAAAUAUGAUAGAAGCCUAAAUGAAUUAUAUAGUUCUUCGCGUAAGAGCAGUUAAGGUUUCAACUCACAGUUUUAGCAAAAGUUUCAAAUUCUUCAGAUUAGGAAAUGUCAUAGUUGGUCCCUUCAAAUCAGAUAUCCUCCUGAUAUAUAAAUGUUUCAUCAAUGAAAAGAAGAUGUUCCACUAUAAGAGAUUGCAUUCCAUUACGAUUGUAAAAUGCACACAAAAUGUAAUAAUUUUGGAAUACUCUUAAAAGGACAAAGUGCUCACAAUUCUGUCAAAUUUGUCAAGUAAGAUAUGACAGAAGGAAUUGGGCCGUCCAAGGAUGUGCCCUGCAAAUCCCUACAAAAAGUUUUCUUAGAUAAUACAAUGCAAGUUAAUCAUGAUAUAACUUUAUUUUAUUCUUCAACUGAGAAAAGGUCAUGGAUGAACCAAAAUUUAGACUCACAAUCUAUCAAGUUUGGUCCAGUUCCCAAUAAAACUGGGUAUUUUCCCAGAUAAACUGUUUCCAUCUAUCCUACUGCAUGCAGAAAAUGUUGUUAUUUCACAAUUUAACAAACAUAAAAUAAAGACAAACGGAAAAAAAUUGCAUCACAUUAAAUCACUUACAACUGAGUGAGAUUCUUUAGAUUUCCAUAUGUUUCUGGUAUUAUCCCUGUGAAAUUAUUUGCACAAAGAAGUCUGUAGAUUCAUUUAGUUAAAGUGAAAAAAAAGGAGUUAGGGAUGUGUGGAGAAAACAGUAUGAAAUUGUAGAUAAUAUGGAGACAAUUUAAUGAUUUAAAUUGAUUAUGUAAAUCAAAUGAAAUUAAAAAAAUGAAACAAAUAGUCUCACAAUCUCAGCAAGUUGCUCAUUUUUCCAAGGCUCGGGGGAAGAGGUCCCUCAAGUUGAUUAUCUUCCAAAUUCCUGUAAACAUGGAUUACAAAUAUAAUUAUUCCACCUCCAGUUUUAAUCAAUUGGCAUCAUAGUUUUCUCAAACGCUUACAGUUCUUGCAGACUAGCCAUGUCACCAAUUUCUGAGGGAAUUGAACCAGUAAGUCGAUUUCCCAAAAGUGACCUGAAGCAUGUAGCAAUUGUACUGUGAGGAAUCAUGCAAACCCCAUUUAGGAUUUUUUUUAAUUAAAAUGCAAUCCCAUUUAGGAUUUUUUUUUUUAAUUAAAAUGUAAUGAUAGUAUAACAGAUUUUACACUAUCAUUCAAUAAUAGGUUGCUAUAUCCUGGGCGAUUUCUAGUUGGUUGUCGGCUACGUAGAUCACACCACGCCAUUUGACUCUUAAAAACCAAAGCCUUAUCUAGGGUGAUUUCUAAUGGGUUAACAAUGUAAAAAAUUUUGCACUUACAAUUUAUGAAAACUAAACUCAAUUGCAAGAAGGAAAAAAAAAAGACAGUCGCAAAGGUUCUUAGUUAACAAAUGAAGAACAUGCCUCACAAAUAGAGCAAGCAAGAUGAAAACACACAGAUGCAUAGGUAAUGAUGACUUACAGAGUGACAACUGAUGAGAGGCGUCCAAGGCUUUUUGGAAUUGAGCCAUUGAAAUUAUUCCAAGUGAGAUCACUGCUCAGUAUAAAAGUUUCAGUUAGUUAUUUCAAAGUAGAUUCCUUUGCAUUUCAUGAAGUUAAUAAUGUUUUGACUUUCAUAUAAAAGAACUAGAAUGUAUACUACUAAUGACAAAAUAACACUACAAAUAUUGCAAUUCACCUUUCAUAUUUGUAUAACAGCAUGCAUGGUGGGGCAUUACUCUACAAUCCAUAGUUUCUUUUAUCGGUUGAAAUCAAAGACAGUACUAGAAAGUUUAUAAUAACUCAUGUGUCCUAUUCAACCAAUUCAACUAGACCUCAUUGGUUAGUUGAUUAGUGUUCAUAGUUUUAUUUUCUUAUUUGGUCGACUUUUUCAUUACUUCAUUAAUGGUUAGUUAUAAUUACCAUUUUUUUGGCAUUUAUUUAUUAAGAAAUUGGGUAUCCGUAAAUGCUUAACAUUGAUCCCACCUGAUUAGCAUACCCAAAAGGAUAGCAUAGUAACUCCCUCAUUUGUGACUACAACAGUUACGGACAUGGUUAAUCCAUAUUUUCUAUAACAGUGCAGCAUUUGUGAACAUACAACUAAAAAAGUAAGAGACAAAAAGAAUUUAUAACCACUUACAGUAUUUCUAGUCGAGUUAAAUUUCCAAAUUCAUCGGGUAUAGGUCCAGAUAUAUUGAGACCCUUGAGCGCACUGUCAGCCAAUGUGUUAAAUUAGAAUUCUCAAAUGAAUAUUGUUUAUUAAUUUAAUAAAUACGAAUGAAUGUAAAGUAACCAAAGGUGACCAAUGGUCCAAGUGGAUGGAAAAAUAAAAAAUAUGAUUAGGAGAAAAGACUCUACUAUAAGUGAUUAAUGUUUUUCAAUAAAAAUUAAUCAUUUAAAAAAUUGAUAGAUACUUCACACUAGUAUUAUUAUCUAAAAAAAAAAGUAACCAAAGGUAACAUCUUUCACGUGUUAGUUUCAUUAUGCCUUAAAAAAACAUAUUAGUUUCAUUAUAAUUUUUUUUUUCACAAACUCACACUAUUGCCUAUUGGUGUUAAUAACAAAUUGUCUAAGUUGCACAAAAUCCAACUGUAGAAGACACUAGUAAGGGAGGGUUUGAAAAAAAGCUUACAUUGCUGUCACAUGGCAAGUAGUGUUAUUGUUGAAAGAGCAAUCACACGUGACAUUCCUUAUGAUUUGAGACUUAUUAUCCCUUGAAAUGUUCCUGUUAUCAAAUCCUCUAUCCCCGUUGCAAGAACGUUGUGUAACUUUCCAAUUCAGGUUCUCUACCUUGUCUGAUAUUGCUUGUAGCAAUUUCACUGCAACAUAUAGAAGGCAAAUAAAUUAAUUAGUUUUAUUCUCAGGCUACAUGCAUCUUAUAUUUCUGGUAUUAAGAUCUAUAAUCUUUUCAAAAGAAGAACUGUAAAAUAAUACUAUGUCAAUUUAGGUAAAUUCUAGAUUGUGACCUACUCAUAUUUUAACAAGCACAAGCUUUAGCAAAACUCUUGUGGUCAAAAGCUUUCAUUAGCAAACAUAUGCAUAAGCCCAUUGCAACUCUAGUCAAUAGCCUCAACAAUUUGAGCACGAUGCUAUCUUUAUAUCCAUUAAUUUGACUAAGUCAAACAAGGCGGGCAAUAAAUAUAAGAAAAAAUUGAACUUUGCAUACAUGCAAAGCUAAUCUUUUUCCUAAUUUUUUAUUGUCAACACUUGUCAUAUGAACCCCAUGCAGCAUCCAUCUAGUCCUAUUAGAGUAGUAUCAUUAUAACAAACCGUCAAUAAUAAGUAAAACAUGAUCAUCGUACCGUCCACAAUAAAGAUAACUAAACCUUAAGCUGGAGAAAUCGAUAUGGUUUUAGGGGUACAAAUCAUAUGACUAAUCAUUACAUUGACAAUUAUGCCAUGUUUAUCCUAAAAUAAAGAACUAUUAGAACGUGUUGGCACACAAUUUGACUCACCUAUCUAUUUAUCAAAAUUCAUCUAUCACAUUUUUUUUUUACUUUCUGUUUGUCUCCUUUAAUUUACUUUCUUCUGUUGCAGCCUUGAUUUUUAUGAGCCAAAUAUUUAGUUCAUUUUACUCUCUUUCGCAUCUAAAAUGUGAAUAGGAUUGGAAAAAUUAAGGGAUAUUUGAUUUGGUUGUUUUUUGUUUUUAUUUUUACUAUAAAUAAAAAUGGUGAUGAAAAUGUAUUUGGUUAGAUUUUUGAAAAUAUUUUAGUAAAAAUAUUUUUCUAAACGAACCAAAAAUUAAAAACAAAAAAAUCUUAUUUUCAGUUGAAACCAAGAAUCUCAUUUUAGUAAAAUGAAAAUACGAUGACAAAAAAUACAAUUUUAAGUAAAUCUAAAAAAUAUUUCCUUUUGAAAACAUAUUUUCAAUAUUUUUAUCUCUCGAAAGAAAAAAUAAAAAAUAAAAAAUUAAAUCAAAUAUAUUUUUAAAAUUUUAAUCUUUUAAAAAUAUAAACAAUUUUUAGAAAAUAAAAAUAAUAAAUAAAAAUACAACCUAAAGAUACCCUAAUAAUGGAGCAGGUGGGUAGAAGUGACAUUUCUCUAUUAAUUGUUGGCGUGCUGGUGACUAGUAAGGCACCGAAACUUCUCUCAUACCGAAAUAGUGAUAAAAGUAAAAUUAAAAUCAUGUCUUUGGAAAACUAUCAGGAUCCGUCCAAGAGUUAGUGAGACGUAAGGUGAAUUUUAAGAUUUUUUUUUUAACUUCAAAUGAGAGAGAUAUAUUAGUUUUUUUUGUGAAAAUAUGUGGGUUUUUUUAUCAAUGUGAUUUUUUUUGUUUCAUAGAAACUAAUAAAUUUUUUAUGGACCUAAAGCUUAAGCGAUCCUUACUGCUGCUUACACCAAAAGGGCAAAAAUCUAAAAAAGGAACGGAUGCGAUCAGCCACACUGUCUUUCUGACAUCUAGACAACUAUCACAUGGCCUUUAUAUUACCAAUUUGCCCUCACUUUAUUUAACAAAUUUUCAUCCUCGUGACUUGCUCCACAGCUGUAAAUUGUAAUAUGUGGUGAACAUAUUUCAGUCAUAAAUUAUUAAUGUCUUAUCUCAACUACAUAUGAUUCCCUGAAGAUGGAUACAAUUACAGAUAUUAUAAUGCUAAUCAAUGAUGUGACAGUGAUUAAACAAUAAAAUAAAAUACUUAGUGAAAAAUAUUUAUUCAAAAGUCCUGUAAAGCAAUUGUAAAACGGUCUUUCCAAUAAUAAAAUAAAUAUAGAAUACAAAUUAUAAAUAUCUUAUGUUUCAUAUGCAUGAUUCAUGCCUUGAGUUGACUAUAAUAACUGAUAUUACAAUAUUAAUCAAUACUGCGAUAUUGAUUAAAGGAAUAAAAAUCAAAUACACUUGAUAGAAAAUAUGUAUGGCUUGAGAAUUAUCAUCUUUAAACCUUUGAUCAAAGAGCACUACAAGAACUUUAACUCCUAUGAAGGAUCUAGUUAGAUACGUGACACCUAUGACAAUUAGUCCUAGGUGUACAUAUCUUUUAUUUGUAUUAAGGAGUUUUCGUCUUGUUUGUUGUGAGAUUAAUCUAAUAAUCUCAUGUCUUCCGUUAGAGAGAUAAAAAUCAUCAACCCUUCUGUAUUUGUAUAAGCUAAUUCUAUCUAAGGCCAGUCAAUUUAGGUUUUAUAAUUGUCUAGGAUUAAGAGAGUCUAUCAUAGAAUUUGAUCCAAUAUCAACAUUGGAUUCUAUAUCUACUAUUUGUUCCAGUUGGUUCGAAAAUUUGUCCUUCUAAAGAAUCUAUCUAGGAUUCCAGGAUGUUGAAUUAUAGAUUCAAUAACAGGAUUGUGUCCUGAGACUAUUUGUGAGGUUUCGAUAAAUGGUGUUGUCCUCAUUUUCUAGGCUUUGCUAAAACGAAUUUAGUCGAAGUUUGGCUUGUUGUUUUUCCUAGAUCAAGUUUAGAAAGCUGUGUUGUAAUUUUAUUGAGUUCGUUUGUAGAUAAACGAAUUUGUUGGUCUUUUGUUUUAAGAGUAUUCAAAAUAUCGUUAAUUUUAUUUUCUAAUGUUUGUAUUUUGUUAAACAACAAAUGUUGUAUUUUUGUUAAGCUGUCUAAGGUUUCAGAUAAAACUUCAAAAGACUUUAUCGAAAGUUUGUUACUAGAGUUAUUAUUAUUAAUUACAUCACAAUGUCUAUCCAGAGCUAAUGUAAAGGCUCUCAUACCAAAGAGGUACCGAGAAGCCUAUAUAAAAGGUGAAAGAAUAUGAAAUAAAUAGUAAGAAUAAUAUAAAUCAGCAAAGGUGGUAGUGCCUCCUAGUAAGAUUUAAAUAAGAGGUACCGAGAAGUCUAUAUAAACGGUGAAAGAAUAUAAAAUAAAUAGUAAGAAUAAUAUAAAUCAGCAAAGGUGGCAGUGCCUCCUAGUUAGAUUUAUAUUAUAUUAAAACAAGUAAAUAAAUGUACAAUUAAGAGUAAUCAAUAACAGUUAAUAGUAAGCGGUCAAGAGUAAGCGAUAUGCAGAAGAAAAAUAUCAAAUUAGAUGGAUAGAUGAUACUUCUCAAGUGGAUACGGUAAGUUAUCUUAUUUUAGAAAAAUAUAGAAUAUGAUGAACCCAAAAUCUUUUUUUUUUUGAAGAACAAAUAUACAAGAUCCUUAUCGGUUUUUUGGAUAUUAAGCCGAAUACUGAAGAUCUUUACCAACUCACACUUCUUUGGAUCUUACGUUGAUCUUAUUUUCCUCCAAGGACCCGCCUAACCAAAGAGGACUUUUAUCGUUUUUCAAAAACAGCUAUCAAGGGCACACCUUUAUAGGCUUACCAAUCCCAGGUUUUCGAAAUCGUAAAAAAUGAUCUUUCCAAUAAUAAAUUAAAUAUAGAAUACAAACUAUAAAUAUCUUAUGUCUCAAAUGCAUGAUUCAUGCCUUGAGUUGGCUACAAUAACAGAUAUUACAAUACUAAUCAAUGCUACGACACUGAUUAAAGAAAUAAAAAUCAAAUACACUUGGUAAAAAAAUAUGUAUUCUGAAUUCUUAUUAUGACUAGUUACCAGCACGACUCAUCUAUUAAAAAUACAAUUACAACCAAGGGUGGGUCUCACCAAUAAUAAAAUAAAUAAAAGAAUAUGGGCCCCCUUUGUUCUCUAUAGACGAGGCUACCUUACAUCACACAUGGUAUAACAAAGAGCAAUUGUGUGAUUUCAUUGAUUCACAAAAACACUCCGAAAUCAUGAAAUGUCACACCAAUAACAAAAGAAAUCCAGAAUUCAUAUACAAAUUCCUUGUUUCAAUUAGAAGAUAGAAAAAUCCAGAUACUCAGAAAGAAGUCUCUUGCUUCAAUUAAAAAAAACUCAAGUCCCAUAUUGACUAGAGAUAGCGUCAAGAUAGAACAUAUAAAGUGAGGACAACCCUCACUCUAUGAGCUAAUUUUUAAGGUUGAGUUAGACCUAGAUUUUUUUCUUGGUAUCAUAUAAAGUGAUUGGACGUGAGAGGGUGAAUUAAAAAAUAAUCCAAGUCCCACAUUGACUAGAAAUAAUGUCAAAAUAGAACAUAUAAGGUGAGAGUAACCCUUACUCUAUUAUAAAAAGAGAAUAAGUAGAAGAAAAAACAAGAGUAAUUAGUCUUAAUUGAAUAAAAAAAUAAUUUGAGGUAUAGAUAAAAGAAAUUCAAAAUUUUCUUUCAUUUUACUCUCUAUUCCAAUCACUGGGAACCAAAAUAAUCCCAGAAAAUUUUAAAAAAAAUAGAAAAAAUUUUAUUUAUUUUUAUUUUUGAGCAAGUUAGAUGCAGAACUUCUUAAAAAAACUAAUUAAAUGUAAACGGAAGAAGCAGGGAACAAAAAAAAAACGACAUUGGCGAUUUCCUUAUGGAUCUUGUGACAGAAGCAACAAUGCAAGUUGAAGAACUAAAUUCUGGAAGAUGGGUUUGCACUAAAACGGAUAAAGUUGAAACUUUGUGAAGUUGGUGUUAAAACCAAAAAGACAGUUUCAGUUUAUAGUUUUGGAAGUUACAAAAGUGAAAUUUCCAACACACACAUAAUUAACACAUAAAAACCCAUAAGAUAAAAAUAAAAUGGAAAAUAAUUAAGUACCUUCAUCUUGUGGUAAGAGUUGAGCGUUGGAUCCAAAGUGUAGGGAAGCCAGGAACACAAAAAUGAAGCACUUAGACACACGUUUGGAGCUUGAAGACAUCACAAACCGCAUCAUGGUCCUGCGGUGUGUCGGUAUCAGAAAGUUUCAGAAUGGAGUAGCAAAAACAGAGAAGAGAGUUGCUAAAGAUUAUUUUUGUAGAAUUUAAAAGAGGAUCUCACAUAAGACAUUAUUUAUUUGAAUUUAUUACACAAAUAUUAUAUAUAUAAUAAGUUGUUGAUUUUCAUAAUAAACAUCUUGUAAAAUAAUUUUUAAUUGAUUGAUAAUGUAAAAAAUACUAAUAAUAUAUGUCAAGGGAUCUAAUUCAUUAGUUGAGAAAAUACAUUAGUUAUGUUGUUUUUUAUUCUUAUAAGAUCAAAUUUUAGGUUUGAAUAUUUUUACUUAUUUUUUAUAUAAUUAGAAGAGAAAUGAAAUAAAAAAGACAUAAAAUAAAUUAUGAAAUAAUGUUACAAAGACAGGAGAAGUAACGCGAGAAGUAAAGAAUUAAGUAUUGUAAACUAUAUUGAAGUAAAAAAUGUCACAUAAUUAUUACAGUUAUGUAUAUAUAUAUACUCUACUUUUUAGUUGGAGUGUGCAUUAAUAUCCUACACAAAAAAAAAAAAAUUGUUGACAAAGAAACCACUCAUAAUUAAAUAUUAACAAUGAACAAAGUUGUUUUUAUAGAAAAAUGAUAGGAAUAAAUAUCAACUUUAAAAGGAUCAAUAUUUAUUUAUUUAUUUUAUUCCUAUAUGAAUUAAUGACAAUUUCAGUAAAUAUGCUUUUUAUAUAUUAAUAUUGUUAUACUUUAUGAGAAAUAAAAAAGAAUAAAUUAUAAUGGUCCAGAGUUCAAGUCAUCGCUUGACUUGAUUUCCGCGUCUGAGUAAUGUUAUUAAAAUAAUGGUCCUGUUAAAGUCAUCGCUUGACUUGACUUCCCCGUUUGCGAACGGCGUGUGCCUUAAGUUCUUUAAGGAGUUGUACGUAAUUGGAGUAAUUAAAAAUUUACUAAAGUUUUUAGAUCGGAGUUCUACCACAUAAUAAGAUCCCAAUAUAAGUGAGUGAAAAACUUCUUCCCUGAUAUCUAUAAUGGAGAUGCUCUUAGACAUUUGACACCACUUAGAAACGUGUGGAUGACUUUGAUUAAUUUCUCUUUUUUUUAUAACUAGAAAAAUUAAAUGAAUUAUAUCAUAAAGGUUCACCAAGAUUUGGAUACACUUAAUUGAUUAAUUUCUUUUAGUCCUAUAUGCAAUGUGCCAAAUUUGUCCUAACUCCUAAGUAACAUAAAAAUAUCUCGGGUGUGCAAUAACUACAGAAAUAAAAGAAAAAUUAGGAUGAAAUUAUACUAAAAAAGUAUUGUAAAUUCUCUUAUUUUGUUUUUUUCGCAGAAUAAAGCAUGAGAAGAAUGGCUAAUACCAUAGUUACCUUAGCAAAUACUGGUUCGGGAAGAGAUCCUAGACAUUUUGAAAUGAAUGGAAAGAGAGUCUACUUUCAUUAAGUGAUUUAUUAGAUAAUCGAAAACAGAAAAUCUUGAGAACUAUUCGAAACUCAGAAGAAUUACGGGAAGGGGCCAUUGAACAGCUGGAAAAAGCCCAAGCCCGCUUAAGGAAAGUCGAAACGGAAGCAGAUCGUUUUCGGGUGAAUGGCUAUUCUGAGAUCGAACGAGAAAAAUUGAAUUUAAUUAAUUCAAUUUAUACGACUUUGGAACAAUUAGAAAAUUACAAAAACGAAGCCAUUCAUUUUGAACAACAAAGAGUGAUUAAUCAAGUCCGACAACGGGUUUUACAACAAGCCUUACAGGGAGCUCUAGGAACUCUAAAGAGUUGCUUGAACAACGAGUUACAUUUACGUACUGUCAGUGCUAAUAUUGGCAUGUUUGGGACGAUGAAAGAAAAAAUAACUGAUUAGUCUUUCUAUUAUAAAAUAGAGUAUAGGCAUUAUUUUUUUCUUCUAAAAAAAUAAAAUUAAGAAAUUUUCAUGGUAACCAUUCGUGCAGAUGAAAUUAGUAAAAUUAUCCGUGAACGCAUUGAGCAAUAUAAUACGGAAGUAAAAAUUGUAAAUACGGGUACCGUACUUCAAGUAGGCGACGGUAUUGCUCGUAUUUAUGGUCUUGAUGAAGUAAUGGCGGGUGAAUUAGUGGAAUUUGAAGAGGGUACUAUAGGCAUUGCUUUGAAUUUGGAAUCCAAAAAUGUUGGUGUUGUAUUAAUGGGUGAUGGUUUGAUGAUACAAGAGGGAAGUUCAGUAAAAGCAACAGGAAGAAUUGCUCAGAUACCUGUAAGUGAGGCUUAUUUGGGUCGUGUUAUAAAUGCCCUGGCUAAACCAAUUGAUGGUCGAGGAGAAAUUUCAGCUUCGGAAUCUCGAUUAAUCGAAUCUCCUGCUCCCGGUAUUAUUUCGAGACGUUCCGUAUAUGAGCCUCUCCAAACAGGACUUAUUGCUAUUGAUUCGAUGAUCCCCAUAGGACGUGGCCAACGAGAAUUAAUUAUUGGAGACAGACAAACGGGUAAAACAGCAGUAGCCACAGAUACUAUUCUCAAUCAACAGGGACAAAAUGUAAUAUGUGUUUAUGUAGCUAUUGGUCAAAAAGCAUCUUCUGUGGCUCAAGUGGUGAAUACCUUACAAGAAAGAGGAGCAAUGGAAUACACUAUUGUAGUAGCUGAAACAGCGGAUUCUCCAGCUACAUUACAAUACCUCGCCCCUUAUACAGGAGCAGCUCUGGCUGAAUAUUUUAUGUACCGUGAACGUCACACUUUAAUCAUUUAUGACGAUCUCUCCAAACAAGCACAGGCUUAUCGCCAAAUGUCUCUUCUAUUACGAAGACCACCUGGUCGCGAAGCUUAUCCAGGAGAUGUUUUUUAUUUACAUUCACGUCUUUUGGAAAGAGCCGCUAAAUUAAGUUCUCAGUUAGGCGAAGGAAGUAUGACUGCUUUACCAAUAGUUGAAACUCAAUCGGGAGAUGUUUCAGCUUAUAUUCCUACUAAUGUAAUUUCCAUUACAGAUGGCCAAAUAUUCUUAUCUGCCGAUCUAUUCAAUGCUGGAAUCAGACCCGCUAUUAAUGUAGGUAUUUCCGUUUCCAGAGUUGGAUCGGCGGCUCAAAUUAAAGCCAUGAAACAAGUAGCUGGUAAAUUAAAAUUGGAAUUAGCACAAUUCGCAGAAUUAGAAGCUUUUGCCCAAUUCGCUUCUGAUCUCGAUAAAGCUACUCAAAAUCAAUUAGCAAGAGGUCAACGAUUGCGCGAGUUGCUUAAACAAUCCCAAUCAGCUCCUCUUACCGUGGAAGAACAGAUAAUAACUAUUUAUACUGGAACGAAUGGUUAUCUUGAUUCAUUAGAAAUUGGACAGGUAAGGAAAUUUCUUGUUGAGUUACGUGCUUACUUAAACACGAAUAAACCUCAAUUCAAAGAAAUCAUAUCUUCUACCAAGACAUUCACUGGGGAAGCAGAAGUCCUUUUGAAGGAAGCUAUUCAAGAACAGAUGGAACUCUUUUUACUACAGGAACAGGUAGAAAAAAAUUGAUUAAUCAUUUAAUAACUUUAUAAUUUCACUUUCAAAUUCUUAUAAUUAGUAUCUUUUAAUAUCUUUUUAUUUCAUUUGAAUAUAAUAUUAAUAUAUAAAUCGAAUGAAAAUAGAAAAAAAAAAAAAAAAAAAUAGAAUAAAUAAAAUAGAAGGACAAGGUAUAAAUUGCAUAUAUUUGCAUAUAUAUGCAAAUAUAUGCAAACAAUUUGCGUCCAAUAGGAUUUGAACCUAUACCUAAGGUUUAGAAGACCUCUGUCCUAUCCAUUAGACAAUGGACGCUUCUAUUUUUUUUUUCUUUUAUUCUUUAACCUUAUUAACUAAAAAAGGUUAAAGAAUAAAAGAAUUCUAUAUUCUAUAUAUAGGAAUUCUAUAUUCUAUAUAUAGAAAAGAUAUAGAAAAUUUAUAGAAAAUAAAUAAAAUUCAAUUUGUUAUAAAUACCUAAAAUAAAUACCUAAAACUAAAUUAAGAAAUUAAAAAAAAGAAUUGACAAAUUCAUUUAAAAUUCUAGAUUCAUUCUAUAAGAAAAAAGAUAGAUUCAAAUAGAAUAAAUAGAGAAUAUAAGCGGGUAGCGGGAAUCGAACCCGCAUCGUUAGCUUGGAAGGCUAGGGGUUAUAGUCGACGUUGAUUCAUCAUUUUGAUUUCAAUUUAACGUCUCUAAUUCAAAACCGAACGUGAAACUUUUGUUUCAUUCGGCUCCUUUACAGAAAAAAUUAAGAGAUGGAAAAUCAAAAAAUUGACCCAUAACAUCUAUGUCAGCCUUUUUGUUUUGUAUGAAUAAGUUUAAAACAUCUUGCUUUUUAGAUGAUCCCUCUAGAAGAGCAGUAUUAUAAUAAUCUGUUUUUUUUCUAGUUACUUCGUUCUCUAUUUCUAUUUAAUAGAAUCUUUAGGAAAAGCAUAAAAUUUCUGUCGAGCUAAAAAAAUGUAGAUGUCUCUAGUAAACUAAAAGAAUCGUUUAAUAGCUAUUUUGCUUCAAUCUCUACUAUACAAAAAAAUGGAAGAUUUAGUUACGAUUAGAAAGAACUUUCUAUAUAUCUCUCCAUAGAUCCUUUCGUCAUACUCAAAAAAAUUCGGAUUAUAGAUCCAAUUCCAAAAACUUAUGUUUCAUAAUUUUAGAACUCAAGUUGUCAAUUUAGAAUUGAUUCUUCUUGUAUACAAAUUACGAUAAUGUAUAUUAUACCGCAAAUCAUUCAUUGAGGGUAUAAAGGAUUCCCUUUAAGUUACAAGUUAACAAUAACAUUAAUUAAAUUAAUAAAAAAUGAAAAGAAAGAAAGGCUCCGGUGUAUAGAAAGGACCUGCCCGUUUCUAAAAAAAAUCAUAGAAACGAUGGAACCCACCCAUUUUUUAUAUAUGUCCUAAUUUAUUUACUAUUACUUACUAUGUUUUUUGAUAUCUAGUAUCAAUACAAUUUAUUAUUUUGAGGUUGAAUAUUUAGAAAAAAAAAUAUAUAUAUAAAAUCGUGGUUGGGGAGGUUAUAGUAGCAAGAGCCAUUGGAAUUUUUUUUUUAUACAUUGGAAGAAUCCAUUUUUGUUAUUAAUAGACUAGUAAGAAGAAAAGAAUAACUGAAAAAUCAAAUAGUUAUUCAUCAAAGUCUCAAUUAUUCAAUGACCAGAAUUAAACGAGGAUAUAUAGCUCGGAAACGAAGGACAAAAAUUCGUUUAUUUACAUCAAGUUUUCGAGGAGCUCAUUCAAGACUUACUCGAACGAUUACUCAACAGAAAAUAAAAGCUUUGGUUUCGGCUCAUCGGGAUAGAGAUAGGAAAAAAAGAGAUUUUCGUGGUUUAUGGAUUAGUCGAAUAAAUGCAGUAAUUCGCGGGAAUAUUAAAGUAUAUUAUAUUUAUAGUAAUUUAGUAUAUAAUCUAUACACGGGGCAAUUGCUUCUUAAUCGUAAAAUAGUUGCACAAAUAGCUAUAUUAAAACAGAAUUGUCUUUUUAUGAUUGCCAAUGAUAUCAUAAAAACCAAAAAUCCCCUUAGACUUUACUCCGGGAAGGUAUAGAAUAUAAAUUUGUUUAUUUUGAUAGCUUUAUCAUAUGAAUUUUUAUCAUAUGAUAAAGCUAUCAAAAUAAACAACCACGCUGAAUAAAAAAAAAUGAUUCUUUGUUACCUAUUAUCUUUUUUCUUACAACAUAAAAACCCAAAUUGAAUUGUCGUAAUUUUCAAACAAAACAUCAAUCAAUAUUUCAUUCAAAUCUCAAUUCAAAAUUGGAUUUAGAAUUCUUAAUUUCUAUAUUUUUUUUUUCUUAAAGUAGUAGUUCUAGCGGUUGACUCGCUUUUUUCAAAUUGUUUUUCAUUAUUAAGAAAAGAUAACGAAGAUAAAAUACGAGCUUGUUUUAUAGCAAUUGUUAUUAAUCGUUGUUGUUUUAAGGUCAAUCUAUUUACGCGUCUGGAUAAUAUUUUUCCUUGUUCACUAAUAAAUCGACUAAUUAAACCCAUGUUUUUAUAAUCAAUUCGGUCCCCCGAUUGGAUCGGGGGCAAACGCCUACGAAAAGAUCGCUUAGAUUUUUCCAUGGUUUAUUUAUCCCUAUUCCAAAAAUCACAUUUAUUACAAGAAAUACUAUAAAGGAUUAGAAAUACUAUAAAGGAUUUGUUUUUUUAUUCUGACUUUUUUAAUAUAUGUUGUUAUAUACUGAUAUUUGUAUAUAUUCAACUGUAAAUGAUAGAAUACAGAUAGAUCUGAUAGAAUACAGAUAGAUCUAUCUAUAUAGAUAAGAAAAGUUCUUUGGUUCGAAGGGUAACACACAAGCGAUCAAUUUGAUCUAUUUCUUUAUUUCUGCGUGAAUUGUAUGUUUGCAACAACGGGGACAAAAUUUUCUCAAUUCCAAUCGACUAGGCGUAUUCUGUCGAUUCUUUUUAGUUAUAUAUCUAGAAAUACCCGUUGAUUCCUUAUUAACACUCUUUUUAUCACAACCGGUACAUUCCAAAAUAACAAUUACUCGGAUAUCUUUACCUUUGGCCAUGAACCUCCCUUGGGUUUUAAUUCACUUAACUCUUUUGUUUUCGGAUUAUAAUCUAAGAAAAAGAAAAGAACGAAAAAACGAAAAUAUAAAUUAAGAAUUAGAAAUCCAAUUUUGAAAGAUUUCGUUCCAAUUAAGAUUAAGAUUAAUAUAGUACAAAAAUAAUACAAUGAUCUCGAACUAUAUUUCGUUUCGAAUUGCAAUACAAUUGCAAUACAGUAUUUUCGUUUUUUUAACUAAGUAUUUUUUAUGAUAUUGUUGCCCCCACCCUAUACAUUCCAUUUAAAUUUCUGCUUUCACUCUUUUAUUAAUAGAAAUGGAAUUGAAUUAUUAAUUCAAUUCCAUGGAAGCCUGGACGAGAUCCCGAGUUUCACUCCGAAUUUCAAUUAGGCCAAAUUAACCCUUAUUCUUUCUCUUUCCUAACUUAUUCUAUUACAAUUGUAAAAAAAAGAAGAAAUAAAAGACGAAAUAAAGAAGAGGAGAUUAAUUACAUAUUAAUUACAUAUAUUUAAUACUUAAUUGGAUCUAUAAUCUUCUUCACCCCUUUCCGUGUCAAUAACUAGAAUGAAAAAAAAGGGAAUAUCAAUGCAUCUGGAAAAAAACGAUUGAUCUCUAUCAAGAGACCCGCCAAAGCCCCGAACCAUAGAGUACUUACUACUGGUGCCACGGAAAGAUAUGUUUUUAGAUCUCGCAUUUCAAAUCCUCCUUUUUAAGUCUUUUUUCUAUCUAAAAUUUAUUUGAAUUUAAUAUUCUUUUUGAUUAUUCUAAAGAAUAUUAGUUAUAUUUUUUUCUUUUUCAUAUUCUAUUCUAUAUUAUAGUAUAGGAAACUAAAAAAAAUGGCAGAAAAUUAGAAAAUUAGAAAAAUGAUAGAUAUAUAUUAUAUAUAUAUCUAUAUAUC
rnacentral:lncRNA from 1 species